rnacentral:lncRNA from 1 species
AAAAAAAAAAAAAAAAAGUAGAAGAAGAAGAAGAUGAUGAUGAUGAUGAUGAUGAUAUCCAAGGAACUACAUCAACAACUCUUUACAUCUAUAUAUGCUUAACAAAUUUCCUUGCACAUAUAUGUAAAGACCAUAAGAAAACCACAUUGAAAGAUCCAAAAAAAGAGGGGAAAAAACAAAAGACCCAAGAAGCUAGCUAGAUUGGUUGGAACAACUAAGAAGAUGUAUCAACUGCUUUGCUAUGGGAAGGUAGAUCGAUGCAUGAAAUUGAUCAAACAAAGUGAGCAAACGUUUUUUUUUAAAAAAAAAACAAAAAAAAAGAGGAAAGAAAAGAAAAGAAAAGAAAAGAAAAGAAAAGCUUUGGGGAGAGGAGGUGAGAGAGAGAGAGAGAGAGAAGAGAGGUAUGUGGAUGAGGGAAGCUAAGGAGUGCGUAAUCAGCCACCCAUUCAAUACCAACAACAUACAGCCUACUCUGAUGUUGCACUUUCUUGUCUUUUCCUUUGUUACCUGCGCAUUUAUCUAGAAAUUCCCUUCCCCUCCAAAUUUUUCUUUUUUUAUAUAGAUUUAAUUCCUCUUUUUUAUAUAUAUAUUUACCAUAAACAGUAUUGGACUUACAAUGCUCCUUGUACACUUUUUUUUAGCUAAAUAUAAGAUAAGCACAUGUACAGUGCACUCAUUCAAGAGUUAUUAAUUAUUUUUCUACUAGCCUUUUUAACUAAAACUCUAAAAUAUAAAAUUUGUGAAUUUUUGGAGGAAAAAAAAAUUAAAAUUUACACCAAUAUAUAAGCUGUACAUGUAGUAUUUUUCUAAUUUUUAAGAGUAGCGUUUAUGUGUACGCGCAAAAAGUAAAAAUAAAUCUUACACUCUUUUAUACAAAGGUUGAUAUUUUGUUCUUUUUCUUAUCAAUUGUUUUACUAUUAAAAAUUUAAAAAAUUAUUUGAGCUGAGGGAUAUAAAAUUUGUACACCGUCUUUUCGAGUUUACAUGUAGCAUUUCAUUUCUCAAUUUUUAAUACUUAUCUUUCAUCGGUGGCAUCUUCUUUGUGUAGAGGAUUUAUAUAAUAUUAGAUAUAUCGUGUGUCUCUCACACAGCUUUGGAAGUUUGUAGUAGCUAUAAAAUAAUUCCGAAUAAUUAAAGCAAUUAAAAAUGAAUGGAAAAAACCCUAUAUACCCCUUACCUAUUGAACAUUUGGAAAUACACUCUUCAUCAUUCUCUUAACUCUUGACAUUCUUUUCAUAAUUUCAAUAGUUUUUAUCAGUUAUAUUAAUAUUAAACUCACUUUUUAUUUUAGCAUAUUAAAUUAUAGAUUUUUAACAAAAUUACGAAUUAAUCUACUUAAAUAGUUCAAAAAAUAUAUACAUAAGUUUAUGUAUAUAUAAAGUUUAAAAUUUAAUUCAGAAUAUAUAUAUGUAAGUGUAUACAUACAUACAUACAUAUAUAUAUAUAUAUAUAUAUAUAUAUAUAUAUAUAUAUAUAUAUAUAUAUAUAUANAAUUUAAUUCAGAAUAUAUAUAUGUAAGUGUAUACAUACAUACAUAUAUAUAUAUAUAUAGAGUCCGGCUGGGGUACUAUCAAUAGCACCAAGAGUUUGAUACUAUCGAGUUUUCCACCGUUAAAUUUAAUUUUUUAAUUAUUUUUAUCCGUUAAAUUAUACUAUUCAAUCAACCACCCACUCAACCUUAGGAGACCCACAUCAUCUUAACCGCACAUUUCUCAAUCCAAGGGCUAAAAAACUAAUAACACCAAUAGCUUUGUGCUAUUGAUAAGUGCUUGUGAAUUUUUUACCGUUAGAUCUACGCUUUUAAUCAUUUUCACCUGUUAGAUUAUACUAUUCAACAAACUAACCAUUAAGCACUAGGGGGCCCACAUCAUCCUAACCGCACAUCCCUUAAUCUAAGGGCCGAAAACUUACAAGCACCAAUGACUUGUACUUUUAAAAGCAUAAGAGCUCAAUUCUCUCUCUCUCUCUCUCUCUCUCUCUCUAUAUAUAUAGAACUAGGCUAAUAUACUAUUAAUAGCAUCAAGUCAUUGGUGCUACCAAAUUUUUGACCAUUAGAUUAAUAGAUGUGCGGUUAGAAUGAUGUGAGCCCCUUAGGAUUGAAUGGGUGGUUGGUUGAAUAGUAUGAUCCAACGGAUGAAAAUGAUCAAAAAGGUUCAUCUAACUGUCAAAAACUUAUAAGUACAAAAAAAAUUUAUAUAUAUAUAUAUAUAUAAAAUUGAGCUAGAAUACUUUUACAAGUAUCACACAAGUGAUACUUGUGUGUUUUUAGCCCUUGGAUGGAAAGAUGUGAGGUUGAGAUGAUGGGGGCAGGUGGUGGUAGGUGGUGGUAGGUGGAAUAAUGUUUGAUCCAAGGGCUAUUUGUAAUCAAAAAGUAGAUCCAAUGGCUAAAAACGUGAUAGCAACAUGGGGAUGAUACUUGUAAAAGUAUCCUAGAUGAACUAUAUAUAUAUAUAUAUAUGACAGUGUCUCCUCUUCUCGAAUGUGCUUAUUAAUUAAUUAAUUAAUUAGGACAAUUAAUUUGUAACGUGGGGCAUGUCAUUGGUGUCAACAGUACUAAUGUCGUGUUGUAACAACUAAUAUAUUUUUGGAACUAAUUAAGGGGCCAAACCAACACUAUAACAGAAUUAGGUUAUAGCGACACAUGUUUGAGACACUUUUGUAUAAGUGUCACAUUUAUGUCAAAACCAGGAUUGAGGAUUAAUGUUUUUUAUUUUUAUAAUUCAUAAUCUUUUAUCUUCUCUCCUUAAAACCAAUAGAGUAAGUCAAACAAUUAAAGGAGUACGAAAAGGUAUAUAAAAGAAUAGUGUUUUUAUAUAUUAAUUAAUCCUUGCCAACUCUUAAUAUCAAAAUUUAUAAAAAAUAAGUAUGCGUGUGAGGUAAUAAUUUUACUACCUAUACUUUUAAUCUAAGUUCUAUACAAUGUUAAUAAAUUUUUUAAUAAUCUUUUUAUUCUAGCUCUAGUUGUCUUGAUGCCGGUCAAAUCAAGUUCGCUUUUCUUUUACGUUAAUUGGUUGGUAAACUCGUGUCGCUUACAAUAUGAUUAAUAUAUUUUAAACAAUGUGCAUUUUAUUUUAUUAAUUUAUUAAUAUUAAACUAAAAUCGAGCUGAGAUUGACGGUGAUGUUGUUUUUGUCAGAUAUAGCUGUAAAAAUUUAUAUCUAUGUACAGCUUUUUCAUGACGAUCGAUUUUAAUGGCUGUGAAAAUUUUUUACAACGAUAUACACCCCAAUAAUCCAUAUAUCACUGUCAAUUUCUCACAGCGAUAUUGGAUUUUCUUAUGACGAUUAAAUGGUUAUGAAUAAAUUCGUAAAUCGUUGGCGACUUUGAGAUAGAGCAACCGACGUCACCGCCUCCUCCUGCUGUCAUUUCUGAGAAGUAGAUCUUAAAGUUAUCUAACUCACUUCUCUCUUCUUUUCUACUAUUAAUUAAAAAAAAAAAAAAAAAGAAAAGACAAAUAUUAGCCCGGUUUAUCUGACCCACACCACCCAACUCAUCUCAUUAGAAAAUAAAAACCAACCUAACCCGAAAUAUAAAUCCGUAAUCAUCUACACAAAAAUUCAAAAUCUUAUUUACCCUAUGAAUGAGUUUUUACAGAGUUUGUACAAAGAGAUAUUGGAUUAAGACAACAUCACACGAUUAAGAAUUUAGAGAUCAAGAAAUAUAGCCAAGCUACUAGUAUAUUCAAAAGAGAGCCUUGUAAUUAAUUAGUAUUGUACUAUACUAUUAAUUGUAUUAUAUAUAUCAACUGUAGAACGUGAUGUUGUUUUUGCCAGAUAUCGCUGUGAAAAUUUACAGCCAUAUCCAGUUUUUUUACGACGACCGAUUUAAAUGGCUGUGAAAACUUUUCACAACGAUAUACACCCCAGCCAUCUAUAUAUCACUGUCAAUCUCUCACAACGAUAUUAGAUUUUCUCACGACGAUUAAAUGGUUAUAAAUAAAUUCAUAGAUCGUUGGCGGCCUUGAGACGGAGCAACCGACGCCACCGCCUCCUCCUGCUCUCCUUUACUAGAAGCAGAUCCUAAAGUCAGCUAAUUCACUCCCCUCUUCCCUUUUACUAUUAGCUAAAAAAAAAGAAAAAGAAAAGAAAAAGAAAAGACAAACAUUAGCCCGGCUUACCCGAUUCACCUCACCCAACUCAUCUCAUAGGAAAAUAAAAAUCAACCUAACUUGAAAUAUAAAUCAGUAAUCAUUCUAAAAAAAAUUNNNNNNNNAUAUAUAUAUAUAUAUAUAUAUAUAAAGUGUAAAGUUAUUGUAGUGAUUUAAGUACAUUUUUACCCAUAAAGAGUGAUGGGUUUGGCCACUAUAAAAACACUUGAACUGUGGAAGACCAAUUAACUUCCUUUGCAGCUAGGGUUUGGUAUCACAUAAAUGUACAAUCUUUUAGGUGGGUGUUAAAAUAAUAAUCACUGGCUUUGUCUUAAAAGGGGGAAAGUUAGAGAAAAGGGGAGUAUGAUUUCAGGAGAAUGAUGGGGUAUUGAUUUAUUUCUCACACAGAAAAGAUUGAGUGUAGUGGUAAAGCAAGGGCCCCAUCUUUUUGCAUUUACACUAAAAUGAUUGGUUCAUUGAUUGAAUUCAUGGAUGGUCAUGUACAGGUCUUUAUCAUUUUUUAAAAAAAUCAGCAUCUCUCUUGUUCCUUGCAUUAAUUUUAUUGCAUUUCAUAGAAAAUAUCCCUUUCAUUCCUCAAUUUCUUUCACACAGCUUUGUAAAAGCAGAGGCCCCUACCAUUAGCCCUGUAGGUUACUCAUUGAGUUAUGGGAUGUAAUAUUGUAUUUCAACUUGGGAAAUUAAAAAGUUAAAAUGUGUCCAUUUCAACUUGGGAAAUUAUAAAUUAGAACAGCAUAUAUCAUUAGUGAGGUAUUUGGGAGUGGGUAGGAAGUCCAUUUCUGCAUAGCACGAUGUCGAACCAUGAUAGACUCAUUACGAUAUCUUUGGUUCUGCUGUAACUUAUAAUAUUGUUGAAUAAUGUACCGUCCAUAAUUUGGCGCAAACAAUAUACAAAAAAUCUUUGAACAAUUUUUUUUUUUCAUUCUACGAUACAAGUUGAUACACUAAAUUUUAAAAAAAUUUUAUUUUUUGAAGAUCAAAAUCUCAACUCAUCUUCUUAUCUUCGUAAACGUUUAUGGCUAAACGCUUUAGUUCAAAAUAACUACGACUAAAAUCAAAGGUAAAUUUGAGGCCAAACUGGCACGCAGCAUUGUAAAAAUGAAAAGAAGUUGGUGUAUUCUCAGUUUUUGACAUAGAGACUAAACUUACCCUAGUAGAUAUUUUUCUUUAAACAUUUAAUUGAUGAUUCUCAUAGUGAAAAAGCUUGUCCAAAAGCUAGGGCAAACAAGCAUUUAUUUGUUGACAGAGAAAGCCAGUUACUGCCACUUUGGUGUAGAUAAAGCAAGAGUUGGGACCAUAUGGAAACAAACUCUGAACAUUCCCUUUACAUAAAUGUAAUUAUGACUAUUUGGGAGAAAAGUAGUACAAGGUAAUUAUCUUCAUGUUUGAAUUGGUGAACAUUAAAUUUAUGUGGGGUCAAUUUUGACCAUCUCCAUUAUCAUGAGACCCCAAUUAUUGAUCAUGUUGAAAUUAAAUUGUAGUUUAUAUAUAUUGUGACUAAGAGUUAGAUGUAUAUAUACUGGUAUAAUCUGAAGUCGCUUCCUCAUCUUUUUUUUUCUUUUCAUUUUUGUGUGAGUGUGAGAAUUAAAGAGCUUAGAGUUUUUUUUUUAUGAGUUUUUCUAUCUAGACCUCGAAUAUCUGAUCUCCAGACCCUAUUAAUUUAAGUAAUUUAUUAUUGGGACACCAACGAUUUUGACUUGUUGUACAUCUUAACAUCUUUACCAAAUAUAUUCAUAUAAAACUUGUUAAUUAUUGCUUACAUUUUAUUUGCCUUGAUUAGAAAAUCUAUUUUAUUUUAAAAGAUAAUGUAUCAUAUUAAGAUCUCUUUAUUUUACUCUUAAUACAAAUAAUAUAUAUAGGCAUGGUUGAGAAAAUAAAAUAAAAUAAAAGGAUAGAUAAACCAUAAUAACCUCUACUAAUUAGUAUAUUUCCGGAAUAUUUUAAGUUAAAAUUUUGGCGUUUUCCUCAUGAGGCUUUUACGGUAAGCUUAAAAAUUUUCAAUUUAAACUACUCGACCCUUCCAUACAAACGUGGGAGGGGGUCUACCCGAAUUUAUUAUAGAUUCGUCUUCUUUCCCUGGUAUUUUACUGUUUUCGUAGGAGAUUUUAUGAGGUAAGGAAAGAACACAAGAUUCCUUAAAAUUUUUUCUCUUGAGAGGUCACAUUGUCAAUAAACAGUGACAACACAAGAUCACUAAUGUAUAAAAUACCCGGGUGUACAGCCUUAAAACCAAUAAUUUUUUUUUUUCUUUUCUUGUAAUGACAAAAAUAACCUAAACCGAGCACAGUAGAUUAUUAGGAUAAUAAUGCCCUGAUUGUUUCUCCUUUAAUUUAUUUGUAUAUUACUUUUUCCGAACCAUUGUACUUAUCAUUCGGGAAAACUUCAAUUUCCAUUUAUCCAUUAUACCCCACGNUACCGGAGCUCCGGUACUAUAAUUUUGUUUUCGAUUUUAGGUUCAAAUUAACGAUCCGUACCAUUAAAAAUAAUAUAGGGUAUAUCAUUAGAGCCGCGCUCGAUCUCAACAAUUUUAAUACAAAACAUACAAAAUAGAAUGGAAAACAGAAAAUAAUACUGUCAAGGGAAAUAUAUAUGUGUAUAAUAAGAAUUAGGCUACUAUACUAUCUAUAGUACCGGAGCUCCAGUACUAUAAUCUUGUUUUCGAUCUUAGAUUCAAAUUAACGAUCCAUACCAUUAAAAAUGAUAUAGGAUGUAUGAAGUUUUUAGGAAUAAAAUUUUAGUUUUUUCGACAUCGUUUACUUACUAAAUAAAUUAUAUCAAAAUGAACGGUAAAAAUUAAAUAAUCUUUAAAAUUUGAGUAUAGAACUUUUAAAUUCAAGAUUAAGAAUGUUAACCUUAAUCUAUAUAGUUUAAAGUAUUUUCUAUCAAAAUUUGAAGAAAUUUAGAUUCUUCUACACCGUUAAACUCCAAACUCGUCAUAAUAGCCAUUGAAAAUUGACAAUUUUGAAAUAGUUUGAUCAUAAAAUAAACUAUGUCGAAAAAAUAUAAAAUUUUAUUUCUAGAAACUUUAAAUACCCUAUAUCAGUUUUAACGGUGUAGAUCAUUGAUUUGAACGCCCUAAGAUCGAAAAUCAACACUAUAGUACCAGAGCUCGGUACUAUAGAUAGUAUAGUAGCCUAGCUCGUAUAUAUAUAUAUAGAACUAGGCUACUAUGUUAUUAAUAGAACCAAGUCAUUGGUGCUACCAAGUUUUUGGCCAUUGGAUUAAGAGAUAGACGGUUAGAAUGAUGUGAGCCCUCUAGGGUUGAGUGGGUGGUUGGUUGAAUAGUAUGAUCUAACGGGUGAAAAUGAUCAAAAUGGUAGAUCUAACGACGGAAAACUUGGUAGCACCAAGUGCUUUGUGCUAUUAAUAGUAUAGUAGCAGAACUCUCUAUAUAUAUAUAUAUAAAGAGAGAAAUGUUAUAUGUUUUCUGCUUUAUUCAUUAAGAAUAAUGAAUUAGACAAUAAGAGUGAGACAAUAAGAUCUUAAGAAAGCAACGAAAAGAGAAAGAACUGAUAGAGAAAUAAAAAAUAAUGAACAAAUUUAGACAGCUCCUCCUUUCGUUCACCACUAUAAGAAAAUUUUAAUAUAAGAACUCUCUUUAGACGAUGCUUGGAGAAGCGUCUCCUAAGCACCUCUAUAAUAUAGCAAAUAUAUAUGCUUCAGAAAGCGUCAUCAUAUGAAUUCUCUAAUACUUUUUACUAUUAUUUUUAUUUUUUCAACACUUUAGAGCGUCGAGAUUUCAAAAGAUUCUAAAAAAUCUUGGCGAUUUAAAGUGUUAGAAUAUAUUUUAACCGAUACUUGGCAUAAGUGGAAGUAGGGACUUUUCAUUUGCGGCCGUUUAAACUGCUAGACUACAUUGAGACAAUAAGUAUUAUUAAAUAUAAAAAAAAGUGUCCUUAAAUGUUAGUUUGUUUAUAGUAUCUUCAUAUGUAAUGACCUGAUCUACUCAUAAUAAUAACUCAUUAGGUCAAACUCUCGACCCAAAAUAAUUAAAUUCAAUUAUUAAUACUCGGAUGUGUGACAUCUUAUAUUCGUGAUUUUUUUUUUUUUCAAUCAAUAUGGGACUAUAUACUGGAAUGUUACACCACCCAUAGAUCACGUGCUAGCAUCCUAUGUAUCUUUCAUGGCCUUACACUGUAACCACAGGCGAUGAACAGAUGAUCAGAUGUUUCAGGCUCUUCCUGAUUCUAGAAAUUUUUAGAAAGUUUUAAAUUUGUGGUUCCGAUUCCAAGUAAUCGGGGGCUCUUUUAAAGUUUUUUUUAUAACUAAUAAAAAAAAAAAAACCAGAGGUUACCUAAGAAAAUUCAGAACCAAUUUUUUUUUUCCUACAAAAUUAAUGCUAAAGCAUUCAAAUUAAAAUAAUUAUGUUAUUAAAAAUGAUCUAGAUGAUUAAAGUUAUAACCAGAACAUUCAAAAUCCAAGGUUCUUUUUCUUUUUAAAGAUAUAUUGAUAUAUUCGACAGAUUUAGUUCUUGUCACGGAAACUAAAAGUUAUCCAUCCAAAUUAAAUGUAUUACGAAUUCUUAGAUUAAGUUAUAAUGUGGUAAGUAAAAAUAAAGAUGAACACGCAUCCAUCUUUUCACNCAACAUCGAAAACGAGCUGGAAGCACGGAAGGCUCCGUGCUUCCGAUAGCAUAGUAGCCUCACUCUAUAUAUAUAUAUAUAUAGAAUUAUGCUACUAUACUAUCAAUAGUAUCAAGCCCUUGGUACUAUUGAGUUAUCGGCCGUUGGAUGAAAGGAUGUGCGAUUAUGAUGAUAGUGGUUUCCGGUUAAAUUGAUAGUGGUCCCCUAAGGUUGAGUGGGUGGUUGGUUUAAUAGUAUAAUCUAACGGGUGGAAAUGAUCAAAGGAUAGAUCUAACGGUAGAAAACUCAAUAGUACCAAGGACUUGAUACUAUCGAUAGUAUAGUAGCCGGACUAUAUAUAUAUAUAUAUAUAUAUAUAAAGAGAGAAAUGUUAUAUGUUUUCUGCUUUAUUCAUUAAGAAUAAUGAAUUAGACAAUAAGAGUGAGACAAUAAGAUCUUAAGAAAGCAACGAAAAGAGAAAGAACUGAUAGAGAAAUAAAAAAUAAUGAACAAAUUUAGACAGCUCCUCCUUUCGUUCACCACUAUAAGAAAAUUUUAAUAUAAGAACUCUCUUUAGACGAUGCUUGGAGAAGCGUCUCCUAAGCAUCUCUAUAAUAUAGCAAAUAUAUAUGCUUCAGAAAGCGCCAUCAUAUGAAUUCUCUAAUACGUUUUACUAUUAUUUUUAUUUUUUCGACACUUUAUAGCGUCGAGAUUUCAAAAGAUUCUAAAAAAUCUUGGCGAUUUAAAGUGUUAGAAUAUAUUUUAACCGAUACUUGGUGUAAGUGGAAGUAGCGACUUUUCAUUUGCCGCCGUUUAAACUGCUAGACUACAUUGAGACACUAAGUAUUAUUAAAUAUAAAAAAAGUGUCCUUAAAUGUUAGUUUGUUUAUAGUAUCUUCAUAUGUAAUGACCUGAUCUACUCAUAAUAAUAACUGAUAGGUCGAACUCUCGACCCAAAAUAAUUAAAUUCAAUUAUUAAUACUCGAAUGUGUGACAUCUUAUAUUCCUGAUCAUUUUUUUUUUUUCAAUCAAUAUGGGACUAUAUACUGGAAUGUUACACCACCCAUAGAUCACGUGCUAGCAUCCUAUGUAUCUUUCAUGGCCUUACACUGUAACCACAGGCGAUGAACAGAUGAUCAGAUGUUUCAGGCUCUUCCUGAUUCUAGAAAUUUUUAGAAAGUUUUAAAUUUGUGGUUCCGAUUCCAAGUAAUCGGGGGCUCUUUUAAAGUUUUUUUUAUAACUAAGAAAAAAAAAAAAAAGACCAGAGGUUACCUAAGAAAAUUCAGAACCAAUUUUUUUUUCCCUACAAAAUUAAUGCUAAAGCAUUCAAAUUAAAAUAAUUAUGUUAUUAAAAAUGAUCUAGAUGAUUAAAAGUUAUAACCAGAACAUUCAAAAUCCAAGGUUCUUUUUUUUUUUAAACACUUUUCUACCUACGCACAAGUAGAAAUAAAAAUGAAUGGUGUAAUAUUGAAUUAGAUUCUUAAGCAUUGUGUAAAUUAAACCUACCUAUUGAAAAUCAAAGGCACUGUUCUUGAUUUAGACAGCUUAUAUAGUUAUAUAGAAUACUUUUCUAAUAAAUGUUUGACUUAUUCGAACCAAAUCUAGCCAAAUAAUUAACAAACAUUUUGUAAUAAUUAUUAGAAAAAUAUAACAAACUUAAUUUUUACUAAUCUUAAAUGUUCUAAGUCAUUAAUUUCCAACAGUAAAAAUCAUAAAGUCUCUCAAACGUACACUAAACUUUCUCGUAUUAAUUCGAUUUUCAUUUUUUUUUUUUUUUUCCUUUAACAGGUUUGCAUGAACGAUUAAUUAAUACUUGUGUAUCGCAUUGUUUUUUGGACGAGUUAAAAAACACACGUGAUAUCUACUUGUCUCUUUGCUUUUGUAUACCGACCAUCUUUUGGCUCUGCAUCUUUUAGAUGCCCAAAGGGUUCAUGCGAGGCACAGCAAAAGAUACCAAAAUUGCUGAGGAAGAAAAAAUUAUAAAGUUACAACAAGUCAACAAUUGUGUUGGUCCGUACAGAAAUUAGAUACCAUUUAACUUUUUCGAUACUGGAAUACACAUUGAGUCAUUCGUCGUAUUUAUUUUUAUCAUCUAAUGAUUCAAACGAAGCUGAAAAACAUGAUAAAUUAUUCGCUGUGUAACACUCCACAUGGUUUUUAUAAGUAUCCGUAAUCAGUCAACAUGCACGAAGUAUUUUGAGCGCUUUCUUGGAGAAAUUUGGUAGUUUAGGUGGCUUCGCUGAAUUUAUCUCCACCAAGAAUUUGGUAUAAGAAAAUGAAAAAAACAAGUUAUAGGAAGUCCAAGAGGAGAAAAUAGAAGAAAAACUAAAAUAAAUAUUAAGCCUCUUUAAGGUAAAAAAAUCUUUUAAAAACACGUAAUUGGGCACGAAUUUAUGUUAAGAAUCAUUGUAUCAGUACUCAUCGAUCUUAUUCGAGAGUCUAAUACUUAAUUUUACGAUUGGAGUGCAUUAAUCAAGCCACAAUAUUUGCACAGAAAUAUCCAUUCUAUUCUUAGGCACAAAAGAACCGCAUAAAAUCCAAGUCCCUUUGGUGUGUAUAGUAACUAGACAAAGAUGAGCACAGGGCCAAUGUUAAUACAAAAAUGCACUAGGCAAAAACACAAUACUCACCAAUUCUUUCGCGGACAAUCAAUUUAUUUGCAUUCCUCAAUUACACUCUUGUUCCAGUGAUCCCUUCCAGAAAAAAGCAAGCCAAGGCGCUUUCGCGAAAAAGCGAUACAAAACUAUACCGUAGAGAAAUGGCCAUACAUUCUCAACUACUCCCAUAUAUAUAUCUUCGAAUGAGCAAUAUAUUAUUGGUUUUGUACAAGGCUUGCAUAUAAGGCUGGAAUUUCAAUGCGUAAAAUGCAUGAGAAGGAUCCUAUGCUUUCGCGGCAAAAAAUGAAAAAAAUCGAGGUGUAAAAACAAAAUAAAAGGUCAGCUUGAGCUAUGAAAUGAGCAAAAGAAAUCGACAAGAAGGUCUCACGUAGCUGUUUGAAUGCUCAAGGAUGAGACUUUCUUCUGCAGUUUCCCCUUCAGCUGCCUGAUCUUAGCAUCGACCCUCGCGGAGAAACCAAUCUUAGUCUCCUGCCUCGCCUUAGAACUCUCCCGUUUCCACAUAAUCUGAUCCUCUACAUCUUUUUUGUAAUGUUUAAUCUCCUGAAUAACAUGGUGAUCAAGUGGAUUGCAUGCUCUCUGAUAGGAGAUAUGGGCCAAGUAUGGGAGGUUGCAAGCAACAGUAACUAGAAGGGUCACAGACCAGUAUAUCGGGGCCGAUCCGAGGGCUUCUAGAAGAAUCUGGAAGUUGUUUCCGGAAAUCAAUGGCGAUGUCAUUCCGUAGGCUAGAAGGAAAAGGUACCAUGUGGUGACGCUGCCCCACACAAAGAGGUGCUGAAUCCAUGUGAAGUGGCUCAUCGUGAGGGCGAUCUGGACGUUGACGGCCCAGAUUAUGCAAGUGAACAUGGCGGUCCCCACGGCGGCCAUGUCAGCGGUCUGGCCUUCUGGGCGGAAGGCCUGAUUGUAGAAGAUGCCGAUGUUGAGGAAGAAGAUAACUAAGGAUGAGUAGAGACCAUUGCCCAUCCAACCAAAAAUCCUAUUCCAGUCGAAGAAAAGGUUUCUCGGUCCUUGCUGAUACAAGGCUGGGAACUGCAGAAUAAUUUGUGUGCAAUUGAAAUAAUUAAAGGUACACAAACAAUACAAAACUCACGGGGAGGUUGGAUUUGUAUUUGAAGCAAAAAGAAAAAUUAACGACGAGCUUUUUCAUCAGUUCAAUGGUGUAUAUGUAGGCAAUCAUGCUGACGGAGCGCACACAAAAAUUCAGAUGGUGCAGGGAUAUUAUAAUUUCUGACGGACAACACAACAUUGUUUUAUCUCAGAAGAUUACUACAAUUUAUAGAUAGACAUCCAAAGUGAAGACCAGAGUAAAUGUAGUUCACCUGUAAGCAGACUUCAGAAGGAACGUCUUGCUCAAAGACUCCGAGCGAUAUCACGGGCAAUGAGGUGAGGAUGACAUUGAAAAGGAUCAUGUACCAGUCGUCAUAUACUGACUGGCCGGAGAACGCAGUGUAUGCCUCAAAGUAGAAUAUCGUGAGGCCGAAAGCAAUAUUCUUGUAGAAAAAGUAACAUAUCUGAAUGCAAUUAGAUCAAAGUAUUAGUAAAAUAGAGCCCACCAUACAGAAAACGGAUGUGUUUCUAGCUAGCCAUUACCAUCUGCGCAAUCCUCUUGUAGCACCAGUGACCAUGAACAAGAAGCAGCCGCUCAAGAAAACGAAAUUGGGAAAUAGAAAAAUCGCUAGCCAUCACGGCCUGCCCCAAACAGAACAAUCCUGAUUAUGAUUAGUACCGAAAGAGAUGAACAAAAAUGGAAUUCCCGGAAGACAGGGAAAUCAGGUUCCUGAGAAAACAAAGUAUUUUCUUGUCUUUGCAAAUUUGUAUCAUAAUCUUCUUUAUUAACUAAAGCACCACUGAGACUCCUUGUCACGACUCAUGAAUAUAUAAAUCAGAGAUUUUGGCCAUGUCAAUUUGAUUUAUAAAAAAAAUUAAAUAAAAAAUAAGAAACAGAAAAAAAAAAAAAAAGAAGAAAGAAAGAUCAAAGAAGCAUAAGAGAAAAACAAGCAAAUCAUUUUUUCGCCAAAUGCCAAGAAAAAUAAAUAGAAGCACUGAAAAAUCAACCUGCAUUCCCUCCACGCCGCUGAUACCAACACCGAUAUCAGCUUCUUGAAUCAUGCCGACAUCAUUUGCACCAUCACCUAUAGCUAAAGUGGUUUGGCCCGUUCCUUCAUUAACCAGUCGAGUGACCUAAAUCAGAAAAUGAGAUUCAUUUUAAAGUAACCCUACAUGUUAAUUUCACCGCUUUGUAGGUAUCAACUAUGGGUACCAGUGCUUUCUGCUUUGGAGAGACCCGACAGCAUAUGACAGAAGCACAAUCAAUUGCUAGGUUCAAAAAGUGGGUCUUCAUAUCAUCCUCCAAGGCAUACGUCAAAGUUUUGCCAUCGAUUAUCAAGGCAAAUGCUGCGUGAGGAUCCUUUUCCAGCUUGACCAUUUGUGAAGCAUUAGUUAUUUGCAGCAAAAGAUUCUCCUUUGCUUCCUGCUCAUUCGUCAAAGAUAAAAGCAAAGCCUACCAUAAAAAGACUUACUGCAGAGAUCAACGCCUGAAACUGUAGUAAGCUAAAUGAUUUACAAAAACUACCUUUCUUGCAUCUUGUGAGAUUAAGUCACCGUUCACUGUGGACAAACAUAUCUGUUUCAUGCCUUGCCUAAGUAAGCUGCAUGCAAAUCUGCAAAGAUGAAAUGAACUGUCAAGUUACAUAUAUUGCAUAUUUGUCAUAAUUUUUUGUGUAGCUAUAAUGGUUUGAAAGGUUACCCUAUAUUGAUUGCUGUUUCCAUUUUAUCACCAGUCAGAACCCAGAUUUUGAGACCAGCUUGAGCUAAUUUAUCUAUACACUGAGGAACCUGAAAAAGAAAGAAAGAAAUCAGCAAUGUCAACUGAGAGAGACGAUAAAUUUAGCGGUAAAACUAAAGGCCAAAAACUUGCUCCUUUUUGUAGUUUAUCUUCAACAGCAGUUGCACCCACAAGGAUCAGUUCCCUUUCAAUCAAAUCAGAGACUCGCUCAAGUUGGGCUUCUCUGUCAGGACCGAUAGAAGUUUUUGCUUUAAGAAACUCGGUGUUCCAUGCAGAAUACUCUGUUUCCUCCAGUACUCUGUAUGACAGUGCAAGUGUACGCAAGCCUGCUUCCCCGUAGUCACUUAGAUGUUUAGUAGUGUCAACCUCGUACAUUCUUCCAUUCUUUGAUAGUCGAUCGAAAAUGAUGCUGUUUGGAGAAAGAGAGAAUUUAUCCAUUAGAGCACGUUUAGCAAGCCAAGAUUACUAUAGGUAUAUAAUUAUAGUGCAGCAGAUGAUUCAGCAGAAGCACUAACAACAUUCAUAGAUAUAGUGUUUGUUCGGCCUAGUUUUCAGAAUCAACUCAUUAACUCACAGAAACAUAAGCUAGGAGGUUGGCAAACAAAAAAAACUUGGUUCUUCACUCGUGGCAAAAAGCUGAAAAGCUUCUAGUCCACAAAAGCUGAAGGUCCAAUUAGGAGCUUUGCAUUUGCUGGAGCAGGAAACUGUUGGGAAAAUCUUAACAAAAGAACCGAUUACUGUUUCUUCGAAUAACUUUACCCAGGCAGCACUUUUGUGUAAGCUUCAGCUAGCUAGAAAAGAACCACCUUUCAUCAGCAAAAAUAAGCAAAGAAGCAAACUGACGUGGCAAUUGCGGUAUCAUACCUGUCCGCUCCUUUGCAAAGAAGAAGAAUUUGCCCAGCUUCGUCCCGCAAAAUUACGGACAUCCUUUUCCUUUUGCUGCUGAAUUCCAAUAGACUGAGAACCUUGAACUCCCUAAAAACAAACGACCUCAAGAGUUAACAAGCCAAUACUACGUAAAAUUAAAAGAUGAUACCAGCUAAUUAUACUUUGGGUCUGCUAUAUGACCUUUCGACAGGGUACUGAGAAGAGGCAUAUCUCUCCCUAACAAAGACGCUUGAUUGAGUCCUCUUACAGAACUCAAAACCAAAUUCCCUUGCAGCAACCAGGAAGGCCCCUUCAUCAGGUGAUUCCGCUUCGUAGCUAAAACUGCCAGUUUCCUCGUUCAUUUCGGGAAUUGCUGUGUGACAGAGAGCAAGUAUCCUGAAAAACAUAAGAAUAGUACCGGCACUAGGAUCAUUUAUCCAAUUUCCUUGCAUGAGUCGGUCGUCUUCAAAGCUGAAACCUUUUAUUGCGGGCUUUUUUGCAAUAUCAACUGUAAAUGAAAUCCUGUCUUCUAAAUCGAUUUCCCCGGCUUCUGAAGCCAUCUGCUUUGCGGCAGCUAUUUCGACUUCACUAGAACGCCGGCCAUAUGAAACUCCUGCUAUGGAACACUUCAAAAAGUCCAUCUGAUUGCAGGUCAAAGUGCCCGUUUUAUCCGAUAAAAUUGUAUGGACUUGGCCAAGCUCCUCGUUUAAGUUCGAGGUCCGUGCGUCAGCGGGAUUUCCAGUAUCCUCAUCAUACAUAUGCAGAUCAUGGUUGAUGAACAUAGCUUGUAAAACCUUGACAACUUCGAUGGAAACAUAGAGUGAGAUCGGAAUCAAAUACCCAUAAAGAAUGAGUGCCGUGACGAGAUGGAAGACGCCGGAAGUAACAGGCUUCGACGGGUCGUACAAGUUUGAGGUGUCGUCUGGUCGCAAAUACCACCAGUGUGGCAUCCCGAACUUGGUGUUCACGGCAAAGCCGAUCGAGCUGAUCAGCGAUAUCAACACAAGCAGCGUGAACAGGAUAUAAAUGAUACGGUCCAUUUUCCUCUCAAUGUUACUCCUCUUGGACGGCGAUUGGGUCGCGUUCUGCAUGACUUUGCUAUCAUGACCCGUGAAAACGACCACUCCAUAGACAUAGGAAGUAUUUCGAAGCUUUGAAUCCCUGAGAAGAAUCUGACUCGGGUCGAGAGCAUAGACCUGUCUCUCAUAUUCGAAAUUACCGACGAAGGUGUACAAGCUAGGAUUCGGAUCCUCGCACCGAAUAAUGGCCUUAAAUUCCCUAAAAGUCCCGUCUUCGUCCAGCGGGAGUGUCACCUCCAAAGCCCUCUUGACCUUCAAAUUCGUCUCGCCGUCCAAAUUCAUGGUCUCGACGUAACAAAUGCCGUCCUCGUAGCUCGACGAGAGCAGAAGCAAAUCGGCGGGGAAGAACUGAUCCUUUUCGACCUUAACGACGUCCCCUACCUGAAUCUUCUGCCAAUGCUUGUAGCUGAAUUGUCCGUCCCCUUUGUGGAAGCUGACCUUCCGGCUGUUAACCUUCAUGUCCUGCACGAAGCGCCGCCAAUCCUCGAGCGCCUCCUUGGCCAUGCUGAGGCCGACGACGAAGGCGAGGGGCGCGAUCAUGCUGACGUAGGAGAAGGGGGCGAUCGGGGUGAGGGAGAGGAUGGCGGCGAGGAGGAAGUAGAGGUUGGCGACGCGGCGGAACUGCUCGAACACGGCCUUGGGGAGGAAGGUGAGGAUGUUGUACUUGGUGGUGGAGAUGUAGUUGGAGGGGUAGCGGAGGGGCUUCUUGCGGUGGAUCCGGGGCUGGUUGCAGUGGACGGCGCGGGAGAAUCCGGGGCCGCCGAGGGAUUGCGCGGCGGCGUCGGAGUCCGAGGGGGAAGCGCAGGGGCGGAGGCAGGAGAACGUGUAGAGCUUGCUCCAUCGGAGGAGCUCCCGACGCCGCGCGCCGCGCGCCAUUGCCCGAUUCUAGGGUUAGGGUUAGGGUUAGGGUUUGCUCAGAUCCGAUCGGGGGAGAAGGGUGCGUUCCCCUCCAUCUACAUCUAAAUGGAUCGGAAAACUAAGCUCUAAAAUUCGCAAAAAUUUGGGGAAUCACACGAAAUUUCUCAAAUGAUCGAUUGAUUGCCGAUCUAAAUCACGAAUGUGACGAGAAAUCUAUGGCACACAUUGUGUCGGGAUCUCCAGAAAUCGUUCGAAAUCGGCGUUUAAUCGGAAAUUUAAGAGCAAAAUUGCGAGAAAUGUACCUUCGAAACGAUCAAGAGAUCGAAACUUCAACAAGAAAAAAACAAGGAUUUAUUUAAAAAAUUAAAGAAGAUAGAAACAAAUCGCGACGAGAAAAAGCAAAAGAGGAUGGAUCGAAGGAGACGGAGCUCGAAGGAGAGAGAGAGAAACAGAGAGAGAGAGAGAGAACGCACGAGGAGCGUGAAGAGGAGGAGGAGGCCCGAACGACUCGGAAUCAGAGAGCAGGGGUUUUGGACCGUUCGAUCAACUUUACGUUUCGUGCAACGGGAGAUGAGAGAGAGAGUGACUUGGGGGGUUUCGCGGGUUCCCUCUCGGGCGAUUCGAACCAACGGUAGGCAUUAUUAUUAUUAUUAAUUAUUAUUUCUUUAAUAAUAUUUCGAAUAAUUUCUUUAUUAAGCUAAUUAAACUGCUAACAUCGUGUUUUUCCCUUUUCCCCUAUUAUAAUGUAAUUAUUAUUAUGUUCGUAAUAAUAAUUAAUGGUCGUAAUAAUAAUUAAUGGUCGAUGAAUUAGAGGGCGAAACUUUGUUAAGUAAACUGUGGGACCCACCAACGUUACGUCAGGUCCGAGCAGCGAGACACGUGUCACGCUACCGAUUCUUCUACAGGGUCGAGAUCCCCUACAACUCCUCGCGGAAGAAAAUGCUACUUCUCGCACUAACCAUGGCUCUUGGCCUAAUACAUCGCGCGCGCGCAACCCGACUUUUAAAGCAUUUACUGUUGCAAUGGUCCUCGUAAAUUACUUUUUAUUCAGAUAUUCUGAAUAAGAGAAGAUGUUCCCCAACCAUAGUUAGUUAACAAAAAUUCAAUACGGGUAUAAAUUGAAUAAAAUUUAUUUUUAAUUUUUUAAAUUUGUUAAAAAAUACGGCUAAAAAACGGAUUCAAUAAUUAUUCGGAUACAUGAUUUAUACGAAUAUUAUAGGUUCAUCAAUUAAAAAUUCAGAAUCAAAAAUUCGGCUAUAUAUAUUAUUAUUAUUAUAAUUUAUAUAUAUAUAUUAAAUAUAUUUAAAAUUAUAAUAAACAUAUAGUAAUAAUAUAUAAGAGUUAUAUUAUAUAUUUAUAAAUAUUAAUAAAUAAUUNUAAAAAAGAAGCAACACUACAUUUAAUUUGACUCUUCCAGGUAGCAACCUCGUAAGUGUCAACUAAUCUAUAAUGUAGUUUUCGCAAACAUAGUUACUUGAUUGUUUUUGUAUGGGUGGUUGGAGUUAUAAUAUUUGGCUGGAAUCAAAACGGUAUACAAUUAUUUUCUCAAAGAGAGAAAGAGAGAAUUGUUGGAGAAAUAAAUUAUUGCCUGAACCCAGUGCAUUCAUGCACCUUGCACACCAUUUUUUUUUUUAUUGAGAGAUAGGUAGUACGCUAUCCGAUUCGUUUAUUUCAUUUAGAAAUAAACUUAAUUGAAAAUGAGAAUCAACUAGUAUUCGAACUUGGGUCUCGGGUACCAACCAUCAAACCCUUUGCCACUUGCUCUAGGACCGCUGUGCUAUUUUCAUCCAUAGUUUUCGCGGACCCCUCGGGCGAGACGGAAUCUGCCGUUGUGGCCCUCUUACUCCCAGCGUCAGCCAGGGUGGCGGAGGAGAAGGACGCUGACGACACGGACGAGUUCGGUGAUUAGAGCGGCGACGACACGACCCGCGAGCACUGUGUUUUUUGGGCGAAUCAUUCGCGAAUCGCGAAUAAUUAUUUUUGACGAAAAAACGUGCUUUUUUUUUCUGAAUUUUUCGAAAAAAAUACGAAUUCGGAUGUUUAAUUUGUUUCUUAAAAAAUUCGCUAAUAAUUCACAAAUUAUUCGCGAAUUAACUAACCAUGUUUCCAAAUCGAAAUACAAUACGGAGCUUUUAGUUGGCUAACGACGCAGAAGAGAAAGAAAACAAUGUCCUCAAAUUAGGUGUUUUUCAAUCUCUUUAUUAUUAUUUCAUAAGAUUAAGCUAGAGUAAGUAUUUUGAGGCCGAUACCCAGCCGUGCAUUUAUACAGUAACUUAGUCUAAAUUACUUGGUGCCAAUAAAAAAAAGUAUAGUAUAGUAAAAUAUAAAUAGGCCCAUAAACAAAUGACAUUGCAUACCGGGCAAGGACAAAAGACGAUUAUCCCCAUUUAUACCCAAACGUUAAUUUUUUACCCAAAAAUAAUAGUUCUCGGUUAUCCCCACCAUUACAAUCAUUUUCUAUAUAAAACUAUCUAAAAUUGUUCUUAUCCCCGGGAACAACCCAAUUUUCACCCAAACACUAUUUUUCUUAUCCCCAUACUUGUAUCUAUCCCUAUAAUAGCUAGUUCUUGCUUAUACCCGAACCAAACGGUAUUAGGUAAACUUGAGAUACCACUUCUGUGGUUUUCCAUUUUUUCACUUUAAUAUUCUGAAAUUUAAAAUAUAUUAAUUUAGUACCCUUUGAUUUUAUUUUUUUCUUUUCAUCAGAUUUUUUUUUUUUCGUUAAAUCUAUUACAAAGUUAAAACUAAAAGGUAUUAAAGCGAAUAUUCAAUAAACCUAUGUGAAAUAUCUAAAAUUUUUUGUAUAUAAUUUAAUAAAAUGUUAACGAAAGAGCUGAUGAAAAGAAAAAAAUAAAAUCAUAAGAUAUUAAAUUAAUAUACUUCAAACCACAUAUAUAUAAUAUAAUAUUGAAGUGAUUGAGAAAGUGCGAAACAAAAGAGAUAGUAUUUGAAGUUUAUCCAUAAAAAUUUGAUAAUUAAUAUUCGAAGUCACAUGUUCAAAGACUAGGCUAGUGGUAAAUAGCAAUUCUAGUUUGUCAACCACUUACCAUCCUCCCUAAAAAUAUGUUUUAAAUUUUUUUUUAUUUUUUAAAAAGUAUUUUAAUUAGUUUUCUUUAAAAAUAGCAGGAGAAGUGACGUGGCUUAAGCAUCAAGGGGGUAACAUGCCGAUUUUGAAAGUUUACGAGGCCCGCCCAAGUGAUAAUUGCAGUAAAUUUAAGGGGGUUUAAUUCAACCUUUGUCCUUUUUUUUUUGAGAAAUGUAUUAUUAGGUUAUUAAAUAGUAGAAAAUAAUAACACUGAAAUCUUCUCUUUACACGGUCUCUCUACCAUUGAACUCAGAGGAAGACUAUUUAGGUAGCGUUUAGUUUGGAUAUAAGCAAGAACUAUCUAUUACAGAAAUAGAUACAAGUAUGAAGACAAAAAAAAUAGCAUUUGGAUAAAAAUUAGAUUGUUUCCGAAAAUAAGAAAAAUAACGUUUGAAUAUAUAAUAUAGAAUAAAAAAAAUAGUGAGUAGUUAUAUAUAGAAAAUAAAGGUGUUGAUAGAAAUAGUUAUUCCCAAUUAUUAUACAUAACCGAUAACUACUAUUUUCGGACAAAGAAUUAACAUUUUGUUAUAAAAAGGUAUAAGAGUUAUUCCACCCCUUAUAGUAUAAGAGCUAGUUUGGAUAAGACUAAUUUUAGCAGCGUUACUUUUUUUUACUAAUUUAUAGAAACGCCGUAUAUGCUUACAAAGAGCUAUUUGGAUGCUUUUUUAAAGUAUAAAAAGCAAUAAAAACACCUCAAAAAUCUUUAAAUUCGUUACAAAAGUAAAGAUGGCGUAAAUCUUUGGAUCUCGGGAUUUGCUUUUUCACUCUACGAUAAAAUUGAAUAAAAUCACAAGGUAUCCAAACAGCCCCUACUCAGUGAUGAUAAAAUUAAGGGAAAACUUUAAAAACCCCCCCUGUGGUUUCAUGCAUUCUCACUUUAGUACCCUGUGGUUUAAAACGUAUCAAUUUGCUCCCCUGUGGUUUCGUUUUUAUCUUUUCAGAAGCUUUUUCGUUAAUAUUUCGUUAAAUUAUAUACAAAAAACUUCAGAUAACCAUCUAUGUUUAUCGAAUAUUCACUUUAGUAUUCUUUAAUUUUAAUUUUGUCACUGAUUUAAGAAAAAAAAAAUAAUAAAAUUGAUAACAAAAAAAGAAAAAUGAAACCACAGGGGGGCAAAUUGAUACGUUUUAAACCACAGGGUAUGAAAGUGAGAAUGCAUGAAACCACAGGGGGGGUUUUUGAAGUUUUCCCUAAAAUUAAAUAAAAUUGAUUUACGGAUCUCGGGAUUUGCUUUUUCACUCUACGAUAAAAUUAAAUAAAAUCACAAGGUAUCCAAACAGCCCCUACUCCGUGAUGAUAAAAUUAAAUAAAAUUACAAGAUAUCCAAACAGGCCAUACUCCGUGAUGGUACUCGGGCCAUCCUAGGCAGGAGGAUGUGGCACUCUUUGUCCUUUGGAGUAGGUUGGGCCGAGGGUCUCAGACUUAUAAGCAUCAACCACGGAGAAGUGUUGGGCUGGGCUCCAAGGUAUGUAAUCCCCAGGCUGAGCCCAUUAGAACCCUCAACUAGACGUCAUAUAUGCGCUUUGUAACCUAAGCUGCAGUUGUUCUUUCUUUCUUUAAGAGACCAUUUGGUUCGAUAUAAUUAUAUAUACAAUACAAUUAAAAAUAUAAUAAUUAAAACUAUAUCCAUCCUGUUUAAUUAGAUAUAAUAAAAAGCGCUGCAACUAUAAAUAAUUUAUUUAGUUAUAUAUAUAUAUAUAUAUAUAUAUAUAUAUAUAUAUAUAUAUAUAUAUAUAUAUAUAUAUAUGAUAGUGAGAUUAUCUCAACUAUAAAAAAUAUUUUUUUUGUUUAAAAAUAAUUAAGUAGGUAAGUUUAUCUAUUAUUUAAAGUUACUUUUUUCAACUGCUACAGUUAAAAUUGCGAUCAAUUUAGACGUAGAUCCAAUUAAAACUGCGAUCAAUUUAGGCGUAGAUCCAACUGCUGCGGUUGGAUCUCCUCCUGCAAUUUCUACUGCAACAAUUGAAAUUAAAUAUAUCAAAGCAAAUACCGAAUUUACAUUUGUAUAUAAAUUACAACUGUCGUGCAGAUACAACUAUAUACAAUCAAAUAACCCACUAAAUGAAGGGUCACAAAGUUUUGAUGAAUAUAAAAACAGUUCUUUCGUAACUAAAAGCCAAGUAUGCGAGGUAAGAACCUUUCGGAAAAUGUACAAUCCAUGCAGAAACGUACAUCUAAUAUUCACGAAUCCUAAGAUUAAGAUAAAAUAGAAUAUGACAAAAUUAAGCCUAGAAUGCAAAUCUUACAUAUAAUUUUUAUCUAGUUUUUUUAAAUAUACAGUAGAAGAACAUUGUGCUUCCAAUUUGAUAAUGCCAUGGCCCCAGGCCUCCAACAAGGUGCAAAUUUUUGACGAACCGGGUGCACAAGAAUUUUGGCCGAGAGCGGAAUAAUAAUAUAUAUAUUUAAUUUUGCAAUUUUAGAUCAUACUUUAGUUUUUAGUCUUUAAUUUCAAACUUUUGCUCGGAGCAACUACAUGACAUCACGUCCAUUAUCACUCGUCCCAUCGGCACAUUUAAAUAUCUUAUCCGCACUGUUAUAAUAAUAAUAAUAUUAAUAUUAAUCCAUCUUAGCAUAAUAAACGGAUUAAAAUAUAAGUAAAAAAAAAAAAACAAGGUAAUAAUCUAGCACGCUACAAGCAAUAACUAUAGAGCCCCUCUCUCUCUCUCUCUCUCUCUCUCUUCUCUCUCGGACUGCUCUCUUCGCUUUUUUUUUUUUUUUUUAACUUUUUUUUUUGGGUUUUUUCUUUUUGGCUCUCUUUUACGCUUCACCACUUUCCAGAUAUUUUAUAUUUACAUUUUAGAAAGACCACGAGUGGGGACGUCUCCAACCUCUGACUCCGAUCCUUCCAGAUCCCCAAAUAUAUUAUAUAUAAUAUAUAAAGUUUAAUAAAAAAAAAAGAAAAAAAAAAAGGAAAGAGUUACACGAGAUGCGAAAUUACAGAUUUAUCCAUCGUCGUCGUCGUCGUCGUCGUCGUCGUUGUUCAGCCGCAGAGGGCGCCCACCUCCCUGAGCCUGGGGACGAGGCGGCCGCUGAGGUGGAGGCCCAUGAGCCCCUCGAUCCCGCCGACGGGGGCGCCGCCGACGAAGAGCGCGGGGAUCCCCCCCGCAGCGAGCAGCAGCGCCGCCGCCGCCUCCUCCUCCGCCCCCUCCACCUCGAUCACCGUCGGGUGCGCCCCCACCGUCGCCAGGAGCCGCUUCAUCACGUGGCACAUGCAGCAGCCCCUCCUCGUGAAGAUCACCACCGGGUUCUCCCUUAUCAGCCGCUCCAUCCUCGUCUCCGGCGCCUCCCCGCCGUCGAUCGUCAACCCCGCCGCCGCCACCGCCGCCCCUCCGCUCGGCAGCGGCCUACACCUCACCCCCUGCAUCCAGAUCCCCCCUAGCUAAAUCCCCCAGAUCUAUAAUCUACAAGAAGAGACCGACGAAAUAUUAGGGUAAACCGAGAGAGCCGAGGAAGAAGAAGAAGACGACGACGACGACGACGACUAAGGAGGAGGAGGAGAAAGGGAUCGAUCGAUAGGAACGGAUUCAGAGAGGGGGCGAAGUGGGAUUUAUAUAUAGUGGUGGUGGGAAGGGGGAGGGGAGAGGUGGGAGCAGGAGCUCCACAACUCACUCACAUGGGGGGGAGGGGUAACGUCACUAUGACGUGACGGGUUACCGGGUGGGGCCCGCGGUGUUGCGUCACGUGGCCGGCGAAGCGGAAGCGAGGAGUGACGGAGCGGGGGUGUACUGACUAAAGAGAGAGCGAACGGCAGGGAGCGAUGAUGCCGUCACCUGUCCCCUCUACACUGUCACACUUGCACCACGUCAUUAAUAACAAGCCAAUCACAUUCCUUUUUUUCAAAUAAAAAUGCAAUAAAAAUAUUUUUUAUAAUCAUGAUGGAAUAUGUAUUCUUCAAAGAAUUAAUUUGAUUGGUUUGUUACGUCACGUCACUAAUAUACCGGUUGCAUUCUAAAAUUUUUCCACGUAAGGAGAGGCACCUCUACUCUCACGUGCGGGGCCCCCACGCCCGAAUGACGUCACCCACAGGGCCAACCACGUGGCAAUUAAUUGUCUAGGGGAACGGUGGGGCCCGCAGCGACGUCACUGACACGUGGAUAAACGGGCGACCGUUGACGUCCAUUCCGCCCCGGUGCGGGCGCUAGUGGACCGUCCAUUUUCGACAUCGCACACGUCACCGGCGGGGAUAAAUAAGAUAAUAAUAAUAAUAAUAAUAAUAAUAAUAAAUGAUGUCGUAAUGCGACGUUUCCUCGACGCGACCUCCGAUUGGUCGAUGGGGGUCCUCCUCAAUCAACGGCCGCUGAUGCUCGCGGGGCACUCUCGUGAAUAUCUCCAACUCACGGGCUAAAUGGUGGGGCCGAAGCUUUCGGUUUCCCCAAAUAAUCUUUCCGCCAAUAGCGACGCUCCACGUGGCACGAAUGUGGGCCCAGCAUCGCACGAGGACGUUGCUUGUGUGAAACGCAUCUGCGCGGGAAGCGUUGACGUGGCGUCCCAAGGUGGCAAUAGAGUUCCACACUCAAAGGAAGAAGAACCCACAAAAAAAAAAAGUAAAAAGGUCAAAAGUAAAAAGUAAAAAUGAGGAAUGAUUGUUGCUUCUUUUCCAAAUAAAUAAUAGCGCAAACUUUAAAUAAUAUUUCUAUAAUUGUAUAUUUUUUUUAUUUUAUUAUAGUGUGAUUUAAAGUAUUUUAAUUUAGUAAUAUGUGCUUUUAUUUUUUAUUUUUCGUCCGCUCCUCCGUUAACAUUUCGUUAAAUUAUAUAUAAAAAAACUACAGAUAUCCUAUCUAAGUUUAUCAAAUAUUCACUUCAGUAUAUUUUAGUUUUAACUUUGUCAUUGAUUUAACGAAAAAAAUUAGUGAAAGAAAUAAUAAAAAGAGAAAAAUAAAACCACGGGUACUAAAUCGAUACACUUUAAACUACAUAGUACCAAAGUGAGAAAGUGUGAGAUCACGUGAGCAAUAUUUGAAGUUUUUUCUAAAUAAUAUGUGUAAAAUUAUUAAUGAUAAAUAACUAGUAAAACUAUUGUGGGUUAGUAACUAACAGUAGAUGAAGUUUUUUUUAUAAUUAUUCGAAAACUAAAGUUGGAGUGUGGUUUGAUUAUGGAUGGUGCUAAAGUGGUGUCUGCCAUGCAUGUACAGCUAAAGGUGAUAGCUUUGCCUCGCUCUCCUUCCAUAGUGCGUGGGAGGCAAACGCAAUUAAAACUCUUUAUAACGACCAAUCGGAUUCGAUUCGAGCUCCGAACAGAAGUUUCUAAUUAUCAUUUUUCGAUGUAAUUAUUCUUACUACUGUACGAUCAAUGAUUUAAUGACGGUGUCGAUGGUUGCAUCGGGAUCGGCACGAAAGAUACCAAUGCCAGCAAAUUCUUAUCGGAUCUAGCAUUUUAGUACUGGUAACGAGUUUUAUACUUAUACGCACGAGUAGUUCUUUUUUCCUUUCUUUUUUCUAUCAAAUUGGUGUUCUACGUAGUAUAUAUAUAUAGUAUCAGAACAAGUUACUUAAUCAAAGAGCCUUUAAAAUUCUGUGAGGUCGUAGGAUCAAUCUCUUUUUCCUAUCUCUUGUAUCAAUGCCACGUGGAUGGUUCGACUAAACUUUAAGAUGAGACAUGACAUUCUAUACUUGAAUCAGUGAAAAGGUGAUUAAUUAUUUCUGGUCCCGUAGAUAAACUCAAGAUGGAGCAGCGCAUAUAUAUAUUCGAUCGGGAGUACGUUUACUAUAUUAUUUGUAACUUUGGGAGGAGAGAUUCAUUUUAUUAUUGAUGCGUAGAGUCCACAUUUCUAAACGCAUGUGUAAGAUGCAUGCCUACACUUAUGUGACAACUAAUUAACAAAUGAGAUGCGUGCCAACUAAUUUAAUUACGAGAAUAUUAAUGGAAAAGGGUGCUGAAAAUUAAUCUUAAAUUAAGUAGAAGACAAUUUCUCUUAUGAACCCGAACAAAUUCCGUCGGUAAAAGAUAGGCAUGCAGCUAAGCUAACUUAUAAAGUUAGAUUUGAAAUAAAUGAGGUGGGGUUAAUUAAGUUCGAACUCGAUUACGGAUGAGCCAAACUCAGGCCUAAUUUAACGACCGCUCAUGUUCAAACCCCACAUGACAAGUUUUUUGGCGGAGUCAAUUGUCAAUAGUGGUAAUUAGAUUAUCAACCGUCCCUACCGCAAGUGGCAAAGAAUUUUGGUGGUCGGUGUCUGGGAUUCUAAAUUCGAAAUUUAGUUAUUUCAUAUUUUCAACAAAAUUUAUUUAUAAAAAAAAAUAAACGAAACAAAUCGUAUACUACAUUUUUUUAAAAAAUAAUAAUAAUAAUCAGAUUAGUCAACUGGAGUUCAAGCUCAUUUAGAUUUAAGCUUACCAUCGCUCGCUGGACAGAUCUGUAGGCAGAAGGGGCCGCUUACCUUCUAACCUAUUUUCUCAGCUAGUUGGCUCCAAUAGAUUCAAAGCGAAUUAGUGUGUUUAUAUUUACCUAUUGCUUAAUUUCAGAAAAAAGUAAAUUUUUAGCAUAUGAAAAUAGAUCAGAAAACGAAAAAGGCCUUCUUCUCCAAAUAGAUUACAUACGAAUCGGACCGGAGCUCCGUGAACCCGGAUCCAUUUGCUAUACUAAACGGAGCCAAAUUCCCACCCAAAUUGGGACGGGGACGAAAAAUCAACAGGACACGUGUCAGAAGACGCUGGCGCAUCGGUUGGCGCGCAGCGGAUAAAGCUGCCAACUGUUUGUUGACCCGGAGAUGAGGGGUUCCAUGACGUCACCCAUUCUCUCUCUCUCUCCCUCUUCCCCACACCACAAAAAAAAAAGAAAAAAGAAAAAAAAAAAAGAGAGAAAAAAAUAUAUAAAAAUUAUAGAAGGAGAAAUAAAAGAGGACGUCCGGGAACCUGCUCACUUGCUGUAUCUUUGUCGGGACGUGACCUCAUCAAUUUAAUUUUCACCCUUUAAUGCUUCCUAGUUUCGUAACACCGACGCGACAACUCAUUCCGAUUAAAAAUAAUAAUAAUAAUAAUAAUAAUUAUUAUUAUUAUAUAAUAUAAUAACAAUAGGGUGCUUAAUUACGCACGUAUAAUAAGUUUAUCAUAAAUUAAAUUUAUCCUCAACUAUACAACUUCAACGUUUUGGCUUAGUUAUAUAAAUAUUACAUUUAAUUUUACCAUUACAUGCUAAUCAACAAUUAUGCACGGAGGGUUAUAAUAAAUAAUAAUAAUGCUCUUAAUUAAUUUGCCCCGAGUUUUAACUUUUUGUUCGGGGUAUCCGUUUCCUUCGUGCAAGCCGCGAUGAGCGGGGCACACGUGGAGGGAAAGGUACAGGAACAGUGCCCCUCCCCAUCACAUGCAUGGCUACUACGUACGUCCUCUCUCUCUCUCUCUCUCUCUCUAUAUAUAUAUAUGUAUUUAUGUUGCAUGUACAUAGCAAGUGCCUUUCUAAUUAUAUCAAUGCUUCUUCAUUUGUUGGGAUUUGCGAAUCAUGCAGGGGUAGUAAACGCCUAAUCCCGGCCCUAUUUAGACCCUACUAUUUGAUCAUUAUUUGAUCAUGGUCAUCAACCUAGGUUUUUCUCUUACUUUAUGGUGAAUUCAUUGGAUUAAAAUAUGUUCUCAAAUGGAAUAAAUUACCUCUAAUCGAGGCAUUUAUUACUGUAGAAAAGGUUCGACAUGAUCGAGUUCGAGUCGAGAGGGAGAGAUUGUAGAUCAAACAAGUUAUUAAUAAUUUAGAAAUUAUAUUCAAUGCGUAGAUUGCUAAAGUCAUGUUUGGAUGUCCAAAUAUCUUUUUUAGAAAUACGAUCAAAUAUUUGGAAUAAAAUAUUAUAAAUAUAAAUUACCUCGUAGGUAAAGUAUACUAUACUACCAAUUCAUUAAUAGUAAGACUUUUUUCAAAAAUAAAACUCAAACUUCCCGGUUACAAUCAUACUAAUUAAAAAAGUAUCGUACCAAAUAAGAGUCUAAUACAUCGGUUCAUUAAUUAUAAGAGAUACCCAUUGCUUCAUAAUUAACGAUGGAUAUUAUAUAUAUAGAAUAAUAGGUUAUACAUAUAGAAUUAGUGUUUUGUAUGAAAUUUGUAUCCGUCAAAAUCAUAUGAACUGCGGAGAGCUAAAAUCAAGGCCAAUAUUAUUAUGGUUUUAGAAAAAUUUAUGGGAUUCUUGUAAUUUUAAUGAAAUAAAUGUUUACCGAAAAAAUUCGCAAUUAUCACAUUCAUUUGUUACUGCCCCUUCACUUAUGGUCCAGCAGGAUGCUUGCUUUCUUUGUAAUUUAAUGCCUAUUUAUUAUUAUUAUUAUAUUAUUAUUGUUACCUAUUCUAUGAUCACUCUGAUUAUAAAAACUUUGGGGCCAAUUAAUUGCCUAAUUAGCACUUGUGUAGUACAUUGCUGUUUGAAUACUUAGAUACCCAAGUGUCAUCUUAAUGUUGAUAAUAAUAGUUUUAUCAAUGUCAAUUAUUGGCGCGCUUUGUAACUAAUGAGCAUAUUCAAUUCGUCUACCUACACAGUUAAUUGUAAAUGUUUCAAAACAAAAUUAUUGGUAUCCAAAAAAGAUUUUGGAAUUAAGUGAGAUUUUUGGAAAAGUAUUAUAUGGAUCGAGGAACAUUUCAAAAAAUCAAAUAUAAGGCUACUUAGGAAAAAAUUAUGACAAAUAUUUUGAUUGUCAUCGUUGGAUCGUCGGAUUAGAUUAGUCCACUGUAUUAAAACUAGGAUAUAAACAUUUAAUCCGACGAUCGUUGCAUAAAUUAAAAAAACAUAAUGGAUGAUAUGUUAAAGGACAACAGGAUAUUAAAAUACAAAAGAGAGGGCCUUUUUGAAAAAAAUAAAAGUUUUGAAAACCCCCCCUCUUUUAUUAUUAGUAUGUAUAUAUAUACAUAUGUGUGUGUAAUUAAACAGCUUAAUCUGGUGAGCCCAUGAAUGCAUCAUGUUCUGUUUAUUCUCUCGGUUUUAGGUAUUUGUCCAUCCAAUAAAUCAAAUACAUUUCUACAUGUUAGGCGUGCUUCUAAUUUGUUCAUUUUAAGGGUGCAAAAGUGUAUAUUAUAAAUUUUGAUUAAUUCAUGAAAUAGGAAACCAUUCAAAAGCGCACCCAAAUUAAAUUUAGAGGUCACAUGAAUGGUUGGCCCACCAAAGGCGUAUUUAGGGCUUAGUUUAUUUACAAACCUUCUUUGUGGGUCUUCAACAAGGCCCAAUAUUUUCUAAGCCCAUGUAAAUUAAGUCUACUUAAGGACCUGUUUUUUUAGCAAGCAGGCUAUUCCGCCACUACAACCAUAGAAGCUCUUAUUUAAAGUUUCUGCCGCUCGGCUUUGUUACGUGUUGUAACUACGUGGGUCAAACACUUGACCACACAAUUGCGCCAACAUGGAGCAACUGUGUCGGUAGCUCAAGUCAAAUUUUAUUCCCAUCAACAAGAAUAUAUAUAUAUAAGUAGAUUCAGAAUUAGUUGUAGUUUCGCGCUUCUUAUUUAUUGUAAAGAUUACUCCCAUUAGAAAAAGUUUUGGUGCGAAAUAGUGAUUAAACAAAUAAUACUAUACUCCAAAUCAAGGCCCAAAAAUGCCCUCAAAGAGAGAGAGAGAGAGGGAGAGAGAGAGAGUUGCCAUAUAUGCAUCUGCUUAAUUACUUAUUGACUAACCUCCUGGGUCUAACCAAUAAACUACCCUGUAUUUAAGUGAUUACGGAGGCAAAUUAAAUGACAAUUAUGAUCGGUUGAACCAUCAAACAUCACCACCACAGUAAUCAAUGUUGUGAGGUUACAAUACCGUAUAAAAUAAAUGGUAAAUUAGUCAUACAUGUGGUGAAGAUUAUUAUUAGAUUAGCCAAUGAAAUAGACAGCAAAAAUAUCUUGUUGUCCAUUAAUUCUAUGGGCUAGUUUGGUUCUCUCCCCCUGAUUUAGAGGAAAAUGUAUUAUACACAUCAAUGAAAGGGAUCUAAAGGAGCCAUAUGCAUGCAUGGUGCAUGAACUAGCUCAUAAGGAACCGCACCUUAUUGUUGUGAAUGAGGAUUCAUUAUGUGGCCACUUGAUGUGCAUAUAUGGUAUUUAACUAAUAACUAUAACCCUUUAUAAAGGGAAUGAGGGAGAGAAAGAGAGAGAGAGAGAGAGCAAUAUCUUAAUUAAUAUAUUAUUAGUUGAUAGUGAUAUAUGCAAGUCAUUUUCACACAAUAAAAACUAAUUCUAGGGGAAACCCCCCUGCGUACCCGUUUUUCGGAUAUCUUUUGGAUCUCUACGAACAAUGAGGCUCGCAUUUCUCAGUGCUGGAAACACGGCGGAUGGAGAUGGCGCUUUAUAUGCCGCGGCUCCUUAGUGUUACAGUCCAUCGAAAGUCGCAGACAGUUAACGAUGUUAAAAGAGUUGCUCCGAGGCUAUCAUCCCUGCGACAGCACAGAUGCUAUUAAAUGGAGAUGGACCUCCAAUCAACUAUUCACCGUCAAAUCCCUCUACCGGUUCAUCACUGACGCGGGACAGCGUGCUCCAACGAACCGGUACAUUUGGAAACUAAGAAUCCCCGUCAAAAUCAAAGUUUUCAUUUGGUUGCUGCUACGAAAGAGAUUACUCACUGCUGAUAGACUACUCAAACACGGAAUGCUCGUUGAUCAGCACUGCGUUUUCUAUGCGGCACCAACGGAAAGUUGUGACCAUCUAUUCUGCACAUGCGUUUAUGUAAGAUACAUGCUCCUCAGUAUGGAAGGAGGGGGUACACACGAUGAGGACACAAGGCCUGAUCCUCUUGGCUGCGACUUGGUGGGUGAUCUGGACAGACAGAAACAACGUCAUUUUUCGCGGAAUCAUGCACAACGCUANGACAAAUAUUUUGAUUGUCAUUGUUGGAUCGUCGGAUUAGAUUAGUCCACUGUAUUAAAACUAGGAUAUAAACAUUUAAUCCGACGAUCGUUGCAUAAAUUAAAAAAACAUAAUGGAUGAUAUGUUAAAGGACAACACACUACAACAAAAACGGUAUAUAGCGACACUUUUAAAUAUAGUUACAUGUCAAAAAAGUGCUGCUAGCUAAAAUUACGUACCGACACUUUUAAAAAGUGUUGCUAUAUAUGGGGUCGCUAGGUAUAUAGUGACAGUUAAAGAGUGUCGUUAUAACCUAAAAGAGCGCUGCUAAUUUACCAACACUUAUUUAAGCAUUUAGCAACCGUCGAAACUCUAUCUUGUUGGAUGCGGUGGCAGAGAAGGAUGACAGGAAAGGCUCUUCGUCUAGAAUUUCAGUGGAUUGAGUGAAGAGAGAAGAAAAUAUGAUAAUUGAUUUUUCUUUUUUUUUCUUUUCUGUUUGUAAUCGGGCCAAAUGGACUGGGUGUGAUGGGUUGAGUAAAUUAAUCUUUUAUUUUUGGUUUGAUUGGGCUUUAUAUUUAGGCAUUAGUAAAUAUUUUUUUAAGUUUUAGCAUAAAUAGGACACUUAUUCAAAAAUGUCUCAAAUAUGUGUCCCUAUAACCUAAUUCUAUUGUAGUGACAGGAUAUUAAAAUACAAAAGAGAGAGCGUUUUUGAAAAAAAUAAAAGUUUUGAAAACCCCCUCUUUUAUUAUUAGUAUGUAUUUAUAUAUAUACAUAUGUGUGUGCGCGCGCACAAGUGUGUGUAAUUAAACAGCUUAAUCUGGUGAGCCCAUGAAUGCAUCAUGUUCUGUUUAUUCUCUCGGUUUUAGGUAUUAUCCAUUCGAUAAAUCAAAUACAUUUCUACAUGUUAGGCGUGCUUCUAAUUUGUUCUUUUUAAGGUGGAAAAAAUGUAUAUCAUAAAUUUUGAUUAAUUCAUCAAAUAGAAACCAUUCAAAAGCACACCCAAAUUAAAUAUAGAGGUCACAUGAAUGGUUGGCCCACCAAAGGCCUAGUUGGGCCUUAGUUUAUUUACAAACCUUCUUUGUGGGUCUUCAACAAGCCCAAUAUUUUCUAUGCCCAUGUAAAAUCUACUUAAGGACCUGUUCAGCGAGCAGACUAUUCCGCUACUACAACCAUAGAAGCUCUUAUUUGAAACUUAUGCUACUCUGCUUUGUUGCAUGUUGUAACUACGUGGGUCAUACACUUGACCACACAGUUGCACCAACAUGGAGCAACUGUGUCGGUAGCCUAAGUCAAAUUUUAUUCGCAUUAGCAAGAAUAUAUAUGUCGGUAGCUUCAGAAUUAGUUGUAGUUUCGCGCUUCUUAUUUAUUGUAAAGAGUACUCCCAUUAGAAAAAGUUUUGUUGCGAAAUAGUGAUUAAACAAAUAAUACUAUACUCCAAAUCAAGGCCCAAAAAUGCCCUCAAAGAGAGAGAGAGAGAGAGAGAGAGAGAGAGAGGGAGAGAGAGAGAGUUGCCAUAUAUGCAUCUGCUUAAUUACUUAUUGGCUAACCUCCUGGGUCUAACCAAUAAACUACCCUGUAUUUAAGUGAUUACGGAGGCAAAUUAAAUGACAAUUAUGGUCGGUUGAACCAUCAAACAUCACCACCACAGUAAUCAAUGUUGUGAGGUUACAAUACCGUAUAAAAUAAAUGGUAAAUUAGUCAUACAUGUGGUGAAGAUUAUUAUUAGAUUAGCCAAUGAAAUAGACAGCAAAAAUAUCUUGUUGUCCAUUAAUUCUAUGGGCUAGUUUGGUUCUCUCCCCCUGAUUUAGAGGAAAAUGUAUUAUACACAUCAAUGAAAGGGAUCUAAAGGAGCCAUAUGCAUGCAUGGUGCAUGAACUAGCUCAUAAGGAACCGCACCUUAUUGUUGUUGUGAAUGAGGAUUCAUUAUGUGGCCACUUGAUGUGCAUAUAUGGUAUUUAACUAAUAACUAUAACCCUUUAUAAAGGGAAUGAGGGAGAGAAAGAGAGAGAGAGAGAGAGAGCAAUAUCUUAAUUAAUAUAUUAUUAGUUGAUAGUGAUAUAUGCAAGUCAUUUUCACACAAUAAAAACUAAUUCUAGGGGAAACCCCCCUGCGUACCCGUUUUCNCUAUUUCUCAAAAAAAAAAAAAAAAACUAAUUCUAGGAAAGAAAUGGCGCGUAUUUUAUUAGAAAAAUCAUUAAUGUAUUAACAGCUUUAAUCAAAUAGCACUAAUAUAGAAAUAUUAUACAAAUAUAAUAAGUCCUUUAAAACUAAAAGAACAGAACAUUGGUAUCUGGUUCUAAUUAAACAAUUACCUAACUAAGCAUCACAGCUUAUCUUAUUUAACUCAGUGUGAACCCUCCUAUAUAUGGCAUUGCACCCAAAGAAAUAAAUAAAGUGCUUUGGCUCUCUGAAAAGUUUCUUGAUAGAGAAUAAAGUGUUUAGAGAACUACUCUUUAGAUUAAAAUACACCAAACAAAAUGAGGGAUCUGUUACAGCUUUAAUUUUAAAUCAUAACCUGAUGAAUACUACUCAUACAACAUAUAUCCCCAACAAAGGAUCGAAUUAUCGUAUUCGCAUCCACGUAUGAUAAGAUAUUUCAAAAGAAACUAAUAUUUUCAGAGAUGUUUUUUGCUAUCAACUGGAGUACAUAAAUCAAGCUGUUUCAUAAUUAUGUGAAUAGUAACAAUAGUUUUGGAAAAAAAUUAAUAACCUAAUGGGGUAAAUUUUACCUCGUCUAUUAUUAUAGUCAUCCAAACUUUAAAAUUUUAUAUUUACCGACUGAACUUUUAAAAUUUUGCAAUUGAUUAUUUCAGUAUAUAUUCCAUCUAUUUAAAGCGGCUAACAUUAAUCAAAUGGCCAACGACUAAUAAAAGACGCGCACAACAAUAAAGAAGGGUCCAAAUUAAGUUUACAAAUAAGCUAAUUACUUUUAGCAUUUUAUAAAAAUGUGACAAUUGUUAUCAAUUUUAUCCACAAAAUAUAUUUGGCAUUAAGGAGAUUCACUUAUAUCACUUGCAUGCGUUUUUCAUUAUUUCUUAACUAUUUAGACUAUUAUCAAUCACUUUAAAUUGACGGAGAAUAAGUUAAAAUGAACAAAUUACAAAAUUUAAAAAUUUAGAUGACGAAUAUAAAAUUUUUAAAGUUUAGAAGUUUAUCCGCAAAUGAGCGAAAGUUUACAUGGUUUUGAAAUAUUUAGCCUUUGGAUUUAUUUAUCAAAAGUAAAUAGAAUAGGUAUAAAAAUAGGAGUUAAGUGGCUAAUUUGGGUCUGAUUGUAUCCAUCCAUCAAUAACUCAUGUGGGGUCCUCUAACCCUACCUAAAUUAAUUAGAAAAUAUUCUAUAAACUCCGCGUGACAACUACACAAGCAUCUAUAUUAAUAUUAAUCUUAAUUAUUUGUUAUAAGAUGAGACAAAAAUAUGGUUUCCCAACUAAACCAAAUGGGCAACAUGAUGCUAUCAGGUGCGCCAUCUAAAAGUAAACGUACAACCCGAACGUUGACUUUCUUUUCGUUUCCUCCACUGGAAAUUUGGCACCCACUUCUACACCUCAAUGAUGACGUGGAGAGAUAAGGGAAAUGAGUGGUCAAAUUAAGUGGGUGUUUCAAACAUAUGGGCUUAAGAUAUUCCCCUUAAAUUAUGCUAGAUUGUUUAGUCUCUAAUUAAAUUUGAUCUACAAUGUAAUUAACUCGGGCACAAGUUACAGCUAUUUAUCAUCUGGAUUUUGCUGCCUCAUUACAUGUACUUUAGAAAAAGAAUAUAUAUAUAUAUAUAUUAAGACAUAAAAGAGGAGGAGAUUAUUAAUAAUCGCCACUAUAUAUGGGCCAGAUCACUUCCCAACAAGUAUCUGUAUUUUAAUAUUUGCAGUAUAAUAAUUAAUUAUUCCUACGUUCUGAUUUCGAUAUCUUACUGCAACCACCAAUAACAGCUUGAAAAUUAUUUUUUCCACAUUCUGCAUUUGUAUAUCUCUGUACGAUACACUGUUAUGUGCCUCCUAGCUAUUUCAUCUCCUAUAUCAAUCUUUUAUCACCCCGUGGAUUGUAGACCUGUACCACGCAAAAUUUUUUCUCGCCUUCAUAUACAUUAUCUUUCUUUUUUUGGUCAAUAAAGUUGAUUAUGGAGAGUUUGGUUACAAGUUUAAUCAUCACAUUACAAUCCCAUAUAAGAUUGUAUGAAAUUCUAAUAUAUAUUCGAACGAAUGGAAAGGACAAUGUCCUCCCCAUGGUACCCUUUUUUUUUCGGCUUUAAUCAACACAAAGUCCCUUUUCCCCUGGAGCUUUUUGUAGCUUUUUGUAUAGGAGGUUACAUGGGCCAUAUAUUUGCACGGCUUUUAAAGCAAAUUUUUAUUGUACAAACGUACUAAAGAAACGAAGCACUAAGCAAUGUUGUGUCCUCCAGUUAGGUAUGGUAUGAUAAUGGUGCUGAUUAACUUUUUUUAUGAGACUUUUCUUUUACUGUAUGUUUUUAGUCUAAACAGUACACAUUUUCAACUUUUAUGAGCUAAAUUAAUACUCUACAAAAGAAGACACUAUAAAACCUAUACUUUAGGUGACAAGCUUGAGACAUUGUACAUUUUAAACUUGAACUUCAUAUGAUUGAACAUACCAAUUAAUGAGUUUUUAUAAUUUCGUAAUUAUGUUUGCAUCCAAUAUAUAAAAAAUUAACUCCCGAAAAAAGGUCACUAGCUAACGAGUUUUUUUUUUUUUUUUUUUUGAUCAAUGGACGGUGAACAAUUGGACAUGUCACCCCUUAAAUUAAUCCUUUAUGCACCGCAAGUGCGAUCUCUACUUGUUAUCCAUUCGAAACUUUUCUCACACACGAGGACAAAGACGUUACAUGGGAGUGUUUUAGUCCUUGCACCAAUUACCAAAUUCCCUACGUCUCGUGGCACCAAAUAGUCAAUAGCAGAUAGUAACCGCUGCUCGGGAAAUUGGUUCCCAAUCUUUUCCGCUGUUCAAGUCCCGGUUCGAGCGAGCGAAAACGAGCAUGUCGUGUCGUGCCAUGCGCCUCGUGUUUAGAAAGAGUCUCUUUUAUUCUGAUCGUGCAUUUCGCUCGAAAAAAUCUCUAACUACUUAGAUUGUCAUAUUAAAAUGGGAUGUAUGAUUAGAUAUUGUGCUAUACAAAGAUCUUCUAAAAGAUUGCUGAUAUGUUGACAGUAGUAAUGUAAUCGGUCACGUGUUUGGUGUUUUGGUGUUUUGUGUUGGGCUUUAUUGGUUACGUUUUUUAGGAGGCAAGUAGGGGACCCAAAGCACCAUAGGUGAGCUGCACCUGCACUAGUCCCCCACUUUAAAGUGUUAAGGUCCGAUGCGGGAGCAGCAGAGGCCUUUAUAACUUUUGAAACAAAUGAUUAGAAUGAUUAGAUGCAAAAUCCUUAGCCUUUCCCUUCUAUUCAUUCAUUCUAUUUCUGUUCCCCUUGUUUCUUAAUAAGUUUCCAUUUGCCCUUUCUCUUCUCUGCUACCACCGCCCUCAUACUACUACUCCUCAGCUUCGUGCACCAAAACACGCCCAUGCUGUGGAAGCGCACGCACAUGGAGCUCGCCCCCGCCGCCGCCGCCGCCGCCGCCGCGUUCUCCGACUCCGACAACUCCAGCAGCGUCUGCUUCGCCGGCGACCACCCCUCCGCCGACGCCGCCGGAGCCGACAUGGCAGCCGCAGCAGCAGACCUCGAGGCGCUCCGCCGCCUAUCCGAAAACAUCGGCUCCGUCCUCUGCGCCGACUUCGACUACUUCGCCGACGCCGUCAUCGUCGUACCCGGCGGCGGCGCGCGAGCGCCGAGGGAGAUCGGGGUCCACCGCUGCGUGCUCUCCGCGAGGAGCCCCUUCUUCAGGGAGGUGUUCGCGAGGAGAGAGAGGGGAGCGGCUCCGGGGGCGCCGGAGAGGGUGGAGGUGCGGGAGCUUGUGGGGGAGUUCCAGGUAGGGUACGAGGCGCUCGUUGCGGUGCUCGAGUACCUGUAUAGUGGGAGGGUCGGGCCCCUCCCCAGGGAGGUGUGCAUCUGCGUCGACGAUGAGUGCCCCCACGCCGCGUGUCGCCCCGCCGUGGACUUCAUAGUGGAGGUGCUCUACGCCUCCUGCACCUUCCAGGUCUUCGAGUUGGUCAACCUCUUCCAGGUUAGAAGCCAAAGCAAUUAAUUAGUUUUUCUUAAUUUGUUUAGAAUUCUUUAGUGGUUUUGAUUUGUUUAAAAAUCAGUAAUAGUUAAUGUUCGACACUGAGUUCUUCAAUGGGGUUUGGGCUGUUAAAAAUCAGAUCUUUUAUGUUAGGUGUUCGAUUUUUUCGUGUUCUAUUGACUACUUGGAGAUUAGGAAGUUCUUGGCAGCUGAGAUUUCCUCAGCAUCAGAGUGUUUAUGAUGAACUUUACUAUCCCUGUUCAUUGAGGAUGCAGAGAAUCAACUAUUUUGUGUUGAUUACUCUGUACCGUGUAGACCCUCGUAUGGCCAAGCUUUUGUGGGAACUUUUUCGAGGUUUUGGGAAAACUGGGCCCUUUGGCUAUUUUUCGUAGACUGGCAGUUGAUUACUAGCUCGGAAAGAAUGUAAUUUUAGUCUUAGUGGCGCCCAUUAGGCUUGAAUAGUAGAGUUAUCCACUUGAAAAGCAGAGGCUGAGCUUUUGGUAACAACAGAUGCACGCUUCUAGCUGGAGUAUGAACCCAAAAUGGGCUUUGGAUCCCAUAAAGUGGAUCUCCAAUUAUUGAGCUUCUGCUACUGUUUUGGAGGUGAAGCUUUACCAUGGGGUUUGAUGAAAACACUCUAAGGACAUCUCGAACAGUUGGACUUAUGGUGACAAGCCAACAACUUAUUGCUUACAGAUGUGGCUUUGUGUUUUUCACCCUCUGUUCAUUAGGAAGCUAUUGGACAUAGAAAGUAUUUGUCAAAGAGUGGCGUUUCCGGCCUCUAACUAGGGCUAGGAGUGUCAAGGUGUUAGUAUGUAAGGCCACUAUUUAUCGAGAUUUGUAUUAAAUCUUAUAUUUACAUCUGUAAACAUGGCCAAGAUUUGUAACGAUCUAUAAUGAAAGUUCUUAUGUUUACAUCUAUAAACAUGGCUGAGAGCUGUGACUAUCACAUGUUUGAUUUGUUUGUGUAAGAAUUCUUGAUGUAAAACCAUGUUGAUUUGCAAAAACAUGCUAAUACAAAUUGUCGUAGAGGAAAAGGCUCUACAGGGAAGUUGGGUAGCUUCAACAUUGUAAUAUGUCUAUGAUGGCUUUGUGGGAUUUGAUGCAACUGAAAUUUGAGUUAGAGUUGUCUCUUUGCUAACGAGUUAUCUGUAGCCUUUAUUUGAAAUAAUAGUAUUUGUUAACCAUCAGUUAGAUUGUUGGCGCCUCUACGCAAAGUUGAUUUAUUACUUUCUAACCUUAAACUUUCUAGCCGCACUCUUUUUGACUUCAGAGUGUUUAUCAAAUCCCUUUAUGGUCAUAAACUUUAAGGGUAGCACUUGCUUAGAUGCAUGGAUGUUCAGCAUAUCUCUCUGUUCACUUGAGGGGAAUGUAGAGGGGAACGUAGUGACUCAGUAAUGGGGAGUAUGAAAUGUGGCCCACAACCGCGUAGUAUAUACGGUCUCAAAAUAGUUUAUUCUUGGAAUAUGGAAAUUACCUAUGUAUGUUGAAUUCACUUUCCUUAAAAAUCAGAAUUAUUGAGAUCUCAUUAUAGCUGAAAAUCAGUCUCCUAAAAUGCACUCAGAAAAGAAAAUCCCCAUAAGCGCAAGUUAUCUCUUUGCAGGCACUUACUGGAUUUCUAGUUGUUGUCACCAUCUUUUUUUAUCCUUGAUUGUUCUUAAAGUCUUAGGUUGGCUUCUAGACAAAAGCGAUAGGACAAUUUUCUAACCGUUGGCUGCUUCAGCUUUUCUUGUUUGGUGGUGGAUUUUUUCAAGUUUCUUCUGUUUAUUGAUUUUUUGGGUUUAAAUAAAGGUAGAAUGUGCAGGGAAAUAUUUUGACACAAAGGGAUAGCUAUUGCAAUAACACUUUCCAUCAUUUUGAUAGAGCAAUUAAGUCAAUUAAAGAGGUCUCCUAUUAAUUUGUAUUCAAUUUUUCCUUCCUGCUUAAUGUUGCAGUAGGCAGUAUAUAAUAAUAUGGCUGGAUAAAAAAAUUAACAGAUCUAAAACUGCUAUUCCACCUAAUGCUUCUGAUUAUUCUGGGUCAACAGUUAGCACGGCAUAUUUUUUGCACCACCUCUAUGAGCAUAUUUAGGUUCUUCACAGUCUCCUUCGUUGUUGAUUCCACUGCUGCAACUAAUUUUCUUUUUCUCAUGGCAGCGGCGCCUUCUGAAUAUUAUCGAAAAGGUGGCGAUCGACGAAGUUCCAGUGAUUCUCUCUGUUGCAAACUUUUGCGGCAAAUCUUGUUCCCGGUUACUAGCCAAAUGCAUUGAGAUUGCUGUUAAAUCAGAUCUCGACAUAGUUACACUCGAGAAGGCAUUACCUCCAGACAUUGUCAAACAAAUUGUAGACACGCGCACAAGCCUGGGAUUAGCCUCUCCAGAAAACAGCUUCCCAGAUAAGCACACAAGGAGAAUAUACAGAGCCCUUGAUUCAGACGAUGUUGAAUUAGUGAUGAUGCUCUUAAGGGAAGGGCACACUACUCUAGACGAUUCUUAUGCAUUGCAUUAUGCUGUUGCACAUUGUGAUUCAAAGAUUACAACAGAACUUCUCGAUCUUGCACUAGCGGAUAUUAACUAUAGAAAUCAAAGGGAUUACACUGUGCUUCACGUUGCUGCAAUCCGUAAAGAACCUAAGAUCAUUCUCUCUCUUCUAACGAAGGGUGCUAGACCAUCGGAUCUUACUUCUGAUGGGCGAAAAGCACUUCAGAUCUCAAAGAGACUAACCAAGUUUAUGGACUAUUUCCGAGCCACUGAAGAAGGAAAAGAUUCUCCGAAAGAUCGCCUGUGCAUUGAGAUACUGGAACAAGCUGAAAGAAGGGCUCCGCAGAUAGGAGAAGCUUCUGUUUCUCUUGCUAUGGCCGGUGAUGAUCUUCGUGUGAAAUUGUUGUACCUUGAAAAUCGAGGUAAUUUGCCUUUUUGGAUUAGACGAUUAAUUUGAAAAUGUAGUCUCUGACACAAAUCGGGCACACAAGUAUCCGAUGCAUACAUGGGAGCUGAAACCAAGUAUUCAUGCACCGUCUAGCUACGUCGAUGCGUAUGCAGCUCUCAUUCUAUUACUUAAGGGUACAGAAAUUAGUUAUUACUUGAUUUAUUUUAUUGCGUAAUAUCAAUAUUUUGCUUAUAAUUCAAUGCAGUUGCUCUAGCAAGGAUGUUGUUCCCCAUGGAGGCAAAAGUUGCCAUGGAAAUUGCCCAAGUGGAUGGCACAUUGGAAUUUACAUUGGGUUCAAGCUCAAAUAACACCAAUAGGAACAAGAGAACAGCUGUUGAUUUAAAUGAUACACCUUUCAAGAUCAAGGAAGAGCACCUAGCUCGAAUGAGAGCACUGGCCAAAACAGGUACAUCUGAUCCCCUAUUUUCAUUGCCUUGAUGUUUCAGAUUGUGAAUCAAAGAAAAGUUGCACCAUUUAAAAAUGAAACUGAAAUUUUUGAAUUCCACUAUACUUGAAACCAGAUAAAAAUAGUUGAAUCUUCUGACAAAGGUGGUGCAAAAUUGUUUUUUAGAUGGAUAGACUACAUGCAUGUAUAUAUUAUUUAAGGACCCAAUUUUUUGAACUCACUGCAUUUCAUCCUUAAGAUAGUAAUCAUGCGAUAGAGGUUUAAGCUGCUUGAAUAUAAAUGGAAUUUCCGUUAGAAUUAUGUAUUAGUUUAACAUUUAAACCAUAUCCACCUGACAGGAGGGACGAUAAUUGCUUUUCCUAACCCCUAAAAAAAAGCUUUAAAUUCCUCACUGCAAGUGUAUACUGUUGAAAAUUCUCAAAACUAAAAUAGGGUGAAAGUUAGGAAGUUCUGAUAAAAAAAAACUAAAAUUAAUAGGUUUAAAAUGGUUUUGUUAAUUGAGAGGUAAGCAUCCCUUUAAUACCAAAUUACAUGAAGGAAAUUAUGCCACAUUUCAGUAAAGCAGCUGUCACUUGACCCCAGAAUGUUCAACACAGUAGUAGAAACUUGGUCUGAACUCCACAUUCACCUUACCAUUCUCCAAAAUAUAGUUGAUUCCUCCAACUCUGCGGAAUUCCAUAUAAUUAUGAACUGAUAAUGAUAACUGAUCUGAAUUUGAAAUUGCUUGUACUAGUGGAACUCGGGAAGCGCUUUUUCCCACGGUGCUCCAGGGUCCUUGAUAAAAUUAUGGAUGAUGAAACAGCAGAGCUCACUUGUCGUGAAAAAGAUAUUACUGAGGAGAAGAGCAGAAGAUUGCUUGAACUGCAAGGUGCUCUUGAAAAAGCUUUUUGCGAGGAUAAAGAGGAAUAUGACCGGUCCGCGGUCUCAUCGUCAUCGUCAUCUACUUCUGCAGGAGUUUUUCGAACAAGGAAAUAGCAAAGGUUACUCUUUUUGAACUGUUUAGCUUGUUGCAUUUAGCUGCUUGUCUUUAUUGUUACCAUUUUCCCCUUUAAAUAUUUCCUGCGCUCGAAGAAAAUGUUCUUCAGCCUGACCAUGUUGUAGAUAUGGGUGCUUCAGCAAAGCAAACUCUUUUUCUUCUAGUCAGUAGAUACAUUUAGUCAUAUGCUUGUAUAGCUAAAAUUUUGUUGUAUAUAUUGAUGUUUGAGUGGUUCACUUCGUCUCUUUGUCACAUGGAAUGAUUGGGAACACUGCACUGUGAGAACUAAUAGGGCUUGAUGGUUUGCAAGAUCAAAUAUUCUGCCAAAAAUGUUGCUUUACUGGGUGCGCCAAUUGAGUCUUAUGAGCCAUUUAAUUGUAGUUGUAACGACCCGACCCGCCAGCAAUAAUAACUCGUUGGGCCCAAACCACCGGCCCAAAAUAUUUAAGCUCAGUUAUUAUUACUAGCGUCUAAGCCUCAUAUAAACUGAUCAGAAUCAGUAUCCCAUCCGAUGUGAGACUAUUGAGGGCGUUACAAACUCUCCCUGUUUAGAUCCUGACGUCCUCGUUGGGUCCAAACCAGAUCAUAGACAGACAGACAAAAUGUUUAAGCUCGGUUAUUAUUAUUAGCGUGUAGGCCUCAUAUAAACUGAUCGGAAUCAGCAUUCCAUCCGAUGUGGGACUAUUGGGAGCAUUACAGUAGUCUUCUUUGCUUUUAUGAUAAAAUUGCUUCCAUGAAGUUCUGACUUGGUCCCCGGACUUUUCAGUGUUACACGUGCGAGAAUAUUCUCCAGAAAUUGAGGUUUGGUUGCCCCACAUCUGUUGCUAGUUAUAUCAUCUGCACUACAAGAUGUAAGGGUUUUUUUCCCCCCUUUUCUUGUUGAUAUUCUUUUAAUCAUGUUUUUUUUCCGUCUUCUCAUGUUUCAAGUAUCUGUUUUUCCUGUUUCCAUAGAUGGUGAACACUUGACCAUGUAGAUGAAUUAGCUUCGUAAAUUGUGGUUCCUUCUCUCUAUCACCUUUUUAAGGUUUCUAAUUUUGAUUGCUUGGGCCCCAAUAUAAUGCAGUCAUCAUUUCACAUUGAAACAUCAACUCAGGCUGUGGUUUGGAAUAUAUAACUAGAUGCCGUUUUAGCCAGGAUGUGGGGAAUAAUACAGUUGUAUGAUGUGCCGUUUGGUAUGGUGUUAUGCUGUAAAAACAAACUAUGAAGCCUUUGGCUUUUAUCAUGCAAGUGAUGUCUGUUAUAGAAUGUUGUCUGGUUAAAUAUUAUGUAAAAGUGCCAUAGAAUAUUGUAAAUAACUAAAAUAACCAAAAUGCUAUUUUGUUGUUUUCGUAAGAGAAACAAAGUUAAUUUCAUUCUAAAAAAAGUAGCAGUAACUCUUAAUCUUAUGCCACACGUAACCACAAAAAUAAGAUUAAUCUCUCUACUAUAAGUUCAUGCUGCUUUUCUGAUAAUUUAGAUCUAGUUUGGUAAUGUGGUGAAUAAAAGUAUUAUUUUUAUAUUUUAUAAGAUCGAAAAAUUUUAAAAGUUCUAUUAAUUUUUGUUUAUAUUAUAAAUUUACAGUUACAACCACCACUUGAAAAGUAUAGUGGAUGCAAUCGUAAUUUCAAAGCAUUGGAGAGAAUUUUUUUAAGAUAAUAUAAAAAUGAUGUUUUUAACUAUCAUAUUAUCAAAUUAGGCCUUAAAAGGUUAACAAUGUCAAAAUCACUUGUUGUAAAACAGCUUUGACCCUCGUUGCAUUCCUUUAUUGUCAAUAGCUUUCAGGUAAAUAUCUUUUUAGAGAUACUCUAACCCAUUGCAAAAUAGGCCCCUAAACUUUUUUUUUUUUUUCCUUUCGUUGGAGACCUUAAAGUUUUAUUUGUCUCAAAUUAGGUGAUUCACAUGAAAUUUCACCAAAUUUAAUGAUGAUUAUGCUAAGAUCAAACAAGGGAUCGACCUUAAGAAACCGUAUUAGAAGAAUGUAGGAGUAGAAAAUGGCUUGAAGUGAUGAAAACUAAGCUAGAAUGAGAUGGCACAUUUUUUUUUUUUAUCAUAGUGACAUUAUCUCUUCUUAUGUUGCGAGAGGAUCUAUUAGACAAAAAUGACCGACCGUCCCUAGAGCAAGUGGCAAAGGGCUUGGUAGUUGGUACCCAAGAUCCAAGUUCGAAUCCUAGUUGAUUCACAUUUCCAGCUAAAUUUAUUUCUAAAUAAAAUAAACGAAGCGGGUAGCGUGCUAUCUAUCUCAAAAAAAAAAAAAAAAAAAAAAAAAAAAAACCAAUUUGGAACAUCAGGGAAAGCUUAGGGAGGGGCACACUUGUGCCCACAAUUGAUGCUUCUGAUUCCAUUGUCAUGGUCCAGUCACUUCCCCAUGUCACAUUUGCAUACAAAAUUCGUGUCCCUUUCAGUAAAACUAGGGUUUUUUUUGUCCUUACAAGGUUUUCCUUGCCUAAUGUGCACCUAGCCUAACCAAAUUUCACAUCAGGUCCUUUUUGAUGAUGUCAUCAUCAUCAGCAUCAUCUUCUUGUUGCAGAAAAUUUCCAUCAGGUAAAGAUGAAUGCAGCAGUGUCUAUUGCCCACAUGGUAAUAGAGGGAACUGGAUUACUGAGAAUCUUUACUGUUUCUCCAUUAACUGAAACAAAUCUUUAUUUGUAAUCUUUAUUUGGAGGCAAAUGGAGCAGAAUUAAUCAUUUGGAUUGCUUGAGAGAAUAUUUAUAGUGUUUAGCAAAUAUAUAAUUGAGAUAAGAGACUUUUCGGCACUGCUUCUCUUUUGCUUUUAGUUGUAGCAAUUUUAGCAGAAAGUGCGAUAAGUAGAAAUGUAGAAAGAUUAGAUAUUCAGGCUAAAAAAUAAUAACUUUACUUAUGCACUUGUAAAUUUGAUACAAAAAAUUAUUACAGUUAAUAUAUAUAUAAUAUUAUGUUAAAAACUGUUCAAACAAAUAAUAUUUUAUCAUACAAUUUUAAAUACAGGGCCCCAAUGAUAUGGUAAAAAAGAAAAUUCCAAUCCUGCAACUGUUCAACAUCAUAGAAUUUCUACAUUGUGAGAGUGCUUGUUGGGAAGUGAAGCAAAGUAGCAAACUGAGUGUCAUCAAUAUCUAUCAGACAAUAAAUGGGAACCUUGUUCCAUAUAAACCAGAGCACAUGCUCUCAAGUUUCAAUGGAGUCAUUUGCUGUUGCAAUUUGCAGAGAUUAAAUGUCUCUCUCUCUUUCUCUCUCUCACUGCCUUAGCUGGAAACCUCUGCUGAGCUCUGCAGCCAAGGGAGUCUAUAGAUUACUCUCUCUCUCUCUCUCUCUCUCUAAAAUCAUAUAAAAGCCUAUGGGGAGAGAAGGGUUUAGAGUGGAAAAGGGCUUUUGCUUGUGGUUGAAACAACAAAAAAAUAGAAGAGGAGCAGAUAGGAGUGGACUAAUCAUAGGGUGGUAAAAGUGAGUUGAGUUGACAGGAACUGCCACUGCUUGCAAAGGGAGUAGCAGCAGCAAGAAGAAAAGGAAGGUACAACAAGCAAAAGACCAUCCUACAUUUCAACAAGCCCAAAGAAGCUAGAGAUAGAGAGAGCAAGAGAGAUAAAGAGUAUUAAGCCAGGAGUAUAUAGUGUGAAUCAGCAACAACAAUCAUUUACUUGUAAUCACUCUCCCUCCAUCUGUAGUAUAUCUUACUACCAUAUUCACCAUCAUGUGGGUUGGGUAUUUUGGGCCACACAGGAGAGUAUGGCUCCUCCUGCUGCUGCUUCUCAGCAGUGUGCUUUUCUUGGUCACAGAAGCUACAGUAAGAAGGCUUUCCACACAUGGAUCUCAAGGUGAAGUGUUUUUUGGGACCUUUCCUCCAAUGCAUGAAGAGAUCUUCAAUUCCUUUAUUUCUAAUAUUCAGUUCAAAAAUCUCCUACAGGCCAACUACAAACACUGCUCCAUGCCAGUUUGGAAUCAUCAAAGGUUACUCUCAUUCUCUCCACUCUCUGAGUUAGGCUCAGAUGAAAAACGCACUAACAAAUAACGACUGAAAACACAAUUUCAGUCGUUCAACAGUAAACAUUAUUUGCAUCGGUAUUUGAAAUUUGUUUAUCAUUCAUAUUGUCAGUUACUAUUCUUUCCAUUUGAGAAGUAACACUUUGUUUUUAGUUUGUUUUAGUUUGUUAGUGCGUCUAUCAGCUGAAGUCUCUGUAUUAUUGAUUAAUUAAACUUGUGACAUGAUCAAUUUGUGCAGGAGUUGGUAGGAGGGGAGAGACAUCCAGGUUCGGUUAAUGGGGGUGAGAUCGAGGAAUCGAGCACAUUGGGUUCAAGGCCCCCGAGUUGCGAGCACAAAUGCGGCGGGUGCGUGCCGUGCUUGGCCAUUCAGGUUCCGACCGCCAUGGACCGAAUCGAAUUGCACUACUCCAAUUACGAGCCCGAGGGUUGGAAAUGCAAAUGUGGCUCCACCUUCUUUAACCCUUAAGAUUUUGAGCGGUGUGAGUCUGAUAGACCCUUACAGGCUCAAUGUAGUAGUGCUCGUCCUAGCUAAUGCACCCCUUUUUGCAUCAAUUUUGAUCGCUUACUUAGUUUAUAAAUCCUGAGUAAUUUUUCUCUUAGUAGGAGUGUUGAGAAUUGAGUGAGCUUAUCAUUAGAAGAAGGAAACUUUUUGAUGUGUAGAAAAAAAGAGAGUAAAAUUGCUGUAUUCUAAUGCAGCUGUUGGGGACCCCUCUUUACUGUGAAAAAGUUUGUUAUUGCAUUAAGUUUGAUGUGCAGCUGAAUAAAUUUAUUAAACAAUCUAUCGUUGUAUUUAGUGCAGUUGAUUGGUAUGCACACUUAUCAAGGAAAGUGGGCCGGUAUUGUCAUUUAUCUGCGUAGUUAGGCCCGUAAAUUUAAGCCCAAUUUAAGUUGGUCCAGGUUUGGGCCGAAUAUUUUGGAAGUGGAAAGAUAAUAGUAGAACCCCACUACUUGAAGUUCUUGAUUUUCAACAUUAAAUUAACCACCANUGGUAUGCACGCUUAUCAAGGAAAGUGGGCCGGUAUUGUCAUUUAUCUGCGUAGUUAGGCCCGUAAAUUUAAGCCCAAUUUAAGUUGGUCCAGGUUUGGGCCGAAUAUUUUGGAAGUGGAAAGAUAAUAGUAGAACCCCACUACUUGAAGUUCUUGAUUUUCAACAUUAAAUUAACCACCAACCGCUGGCAAAUAUAUAUAUAUUUUUUUUGGAGAGAUAGGUAGAAUGCUACCCGUUUCGUUUAUUUUAUUUAGAAAUAAAUUUAGCUAAAAAUGUGAAUUAAUUAGGAUUCGAACUUGGGACCUCGGGUAUCAACUAUCAAGCCAUUUAUCACUUGCGCUAGGGACGGUCAGUAAUUUCAAUAUUGUUUUAAGUGAGAAUUGGAUGUGUGUGUGUGUGUGUGUGUGUAUAUAUAUAUAUAUAUAUAUAUAUAUAUAUAUAUAUAUAUAAUAUUAUAUAGUAUCCAAGGGGGUGGUGGCUUUUUGAGUUUUAGGCCAUUGGAUGGAAGAUGUGAGGUGAAGAUGAUGGUGGUAGGUGGUGGUAGAGUUGAUAAGUGGAGAUAGUGUUUGAUCCAAGGCGCUAUUAGUAAUCAGAAAUAGAUCCUAAUGCUAAAAACCUAAUAGCACCAUGGUAGGUUACUUGUAAAAAAUAUUCUAAGCUCCAAUUUUAUAUAUAUAUAUAUACGGAGUCCGGUGCUACCUAUGCUAUCGGAGCAUCGGAGCGCUCCGUGCUACCAAGUGUUUUCGAUGAUCGCUUCCAAAUGCGACGAUCAGCUCCGUUGAGACUUGAUCUAUCAUUAUUGAAAAGUCAUUUGGAAACUAAUUUUCAGAUUUUUUGACAUCAUUUGAACAUAAGUGAUCAAAAGAUCUGCAAAUGACAAUUUAAUGCCGAUGUGGUGUGUUUGUGAGUUUAAGCGGUGUAAAACAAUCCAAAUCGAUGAAAAUUUCUAUAGAAAUAUCUUUUCACAUAUUUAGAGUAAACAAUCAGUAUUCUGAUUUGAAUUUAAAUCUUUUAUCAUGCAUUUUUCAUGGAGAUUUUUAUUUUAAGCCGUCGUCAAUUUUAGAUCUACUUGUUGAGAUGUAAAUGAUAUCUGAAAAAUUUGAAAAUUUAUUUCUAAAAUACUCUUCAAUAGUGUAGAGCAAGUUUAAGGAGCCGAUCUGCGAUUUGGAAGCUGCAUCAUUGAAAAACAACUGUGGUUAGGCACGGAGCGCUCCGUGCUAUCGAUAUAUAUUAGUUUCCCCCUGUUCGAUGAUAUUAUAUUAUUAGUACAAUAUAUAUGUUAUAAUAUAUGAUAUAUAUACAUAUAUAUAAUAUAUAUAUAUAUUAUAAAACUAGGCUAUAUACUAUUAAGAGCAAAACCAAGUAUUGACAACGAAAGUUUUUGGCGCAUUGAUAAGCAGAUAUGUUGGUUAGGAUGAUGCACGACCCCUUAGAUCGAUUGAGUGGGUGGUUGGUUGAAUAGUAUGAUCUAACGGAUGAAAAUGAUCAAAAAGGUAAAUCUAACGGCGAAAAACUUUGUAGCACCAAGUGCUUCGUGCUAUUAAUAGCAUAGUAGCCGGAUUCUAUAUAUAUAUAUAUAUAGAGAGAGAGAGAGAGAGAGAGGGAUGUCAUGUACGUUUACACACUAUUUCUCGUAUGUAUAUUUAGUAAACAGAUCAAUAUAUCAAAUAUAUCAAACUGGGUCAAUUUUGGUUAAGAAGAAAUAACCGAAUAAAUUAAACAUAAAUUUAUUUUCUACAACAAGUAAUAUUUGACACAAAAUGAUGCAUUUGGCAAUUUCAACCACCUCACCUUCUUUACGCGGAGAAAAAUGAGAAAAAGUGUUAAGUCAAAAAGCCAAGCGAAUCAAUAUAAUGGGAACCAAUUUUCCCCUUUCGCCAUUUAUUAGUGUCAACAAAGGGCUCAAAAAAAUGGAAGGGCCUUUUUUCCCUCUCUCUUUAAUUACCUCCCGUUUCAACUAAUACAAUGCAAGGCACAAAAAGUUUCCAAACAAUACGACCAUAAGAAAUUAAUUUAUCUCAUUUUUCCUGUUACUAGUAUUAGUAAAAAAUAUUUUAAAUAUGUAUUUGAGUGUGCAUGGUCAGAUAUUUGACUUGUUCUACUUUGUUCCACACGCUUAUAACUUAGACUCUCGAAUUAGCAAGGAAAUUCUUUCUUUGACGAAGAUAAAAAGAUUUUCAAUUAAGUUUUUCACAUUGUUAUUGACCCGCGACAAGUUUUUUUUAAAAAAAUUCUUUUUUUUUUUUAAGAUUCGUAAGCAUUUCAUAACCCCAAGUAUGGACUCAGGUAGUUUUUCGCUAUUAUGAAUGCAUAUAAUUGAAAUGAGCUACAAUGUAGAAUUGACAAAUUAACGAGACAAUCAACAGGGAAUCAAAUUUUAACUUCCAUUCUUAGAUUCAUCUCACUAAAUGUGUGUCAUCAAGAAAUGCGACGAAAUAUGAGUUAAAAAAAAAAAAAAAAAAUUCAUGUUAACCAUUAAUUUCAUGGUAUGUUCCACUUGAGAACAAUCUUAUCUCCUCACCUUCCUUUUCAUCUCAUCUGGAAAAGUUUCUAUCUAAAAUUGCUUUGGUGACAAAUUAAUAAGGACAAAACACAACAUUAUCCUGUUUUGAUUAAGGUAAUCCAAAGAUGACUCUUAUUACUUGUUAUGGAGUGCGGGAGAUACUUACCAAAUGAAGCAACCUUGACAAAAACUUAUAUCAUGCUUUUUUAGUGAUGAAUGUUCCCAUACAAUUAAUUUAUUUUGUUUUAGGUGAACGUUCCUUAAAUCACAAAUUAUAUAUAGAACGAGAUCUGCUAGUAACAUUACCCCAUCAGAUAGAUAUAUGCAUGAUAGAGAUCAGAUAAAAUUAUGUCUCACCCACUUACGCGAGAGAUGAAAGAAGAGACAAUAGAACACCAUAUAUAUAUAUAUAUAUAUAUAGUAGGGCUACUAUACUCUUAUUAUGAGUAUUGGAUCCUUCGUUAUACUCAUAAGUUAUUUUUGAUAAUGGAGCUGCUGAAUUGAUGAUCCAUUUCGUUAAAUAUAAUCUAUAGUAUUUAAAACUUCUAAAAAAUAAAUAUUAUAAUUUUUUGAAAUUAUAAUAAAGUUCAUCAAGUGGGCAUAAAAUGAACGGUCAAAAUCGAACGACGUCCUCAAAAUGGAUGAUCGGAUCCUUCAAUUUAAGAUCGGAGUUAUUGAUCUUUAUUUAGGUAGUUAAUAAAAUUUUUUAUCAAAAAUUCAACUGAUUCCGAUUCUUUUACAGCGUUAACCUAGCAAGUAUUAUAUAACGACCGUUAAAAUUUGUCAAUUUUAUGACUUUUUGAUCGUAAGGUAAAUGAUGUCGAAAAAAUUAUGAAAUUUGAUUUCUACAAGUUUUAAAUGUUCGAGAUAAUGUUUAACGGUAUGGAUCGUCAAUUCGAAAGCUCUAUCAUCGAAAACGACUUAUGAGUAUGAAGGCGAUCGUACCCAUAAGAGUAUAGUAGUCGAACUAUAUAUAUAUAUAGUCUGGCUACUAUACUAUUAAUAGCACAAAGCACUUGGUGCUACCAAGUUUUCCGCCGUUAAUUAGAUCUACUCUUUUGAUCAUUUUCACCCGUUAGAUCAUUCUAUUCAACCAACCACCCACUCAACCCAAGGGGGCCUACAUCAUCCUAACCGCACAUCUUUUAAUUCAAUAGUCAAAAACUUGGUAGUACCGCAAUGAUUUGGUGCUAUUAACAGUAUAUUAGCCUAGUUAUAUAUAUAUAUAUAUAUAUAUAUAUAUAUGAGAAUUGGAAUUAGAAGUUCUUGAAAAAGAGGGUUUCUUAAUAUGAUAGAAAACAGUUUGAAAAUAAUCUUAGAUUGUUAUCUCACCAAGUAAGACACAAAAUAUUUUUUUUUAUAUAAGCCAUGAAAGAUCCAUCUUUUUUUUCUUUUUCUUGUUUUGAGAAAAUGAAAGAUCCAUCUUGUUCCAAAUAAAAUGGGAACACAAUAUCCAAUAAUGUGGCAAAUUUCCAUUGAUCCAUAACAACUCAAGUUGAAUAUAAUAAUCUAGUCAAAUGAAGGGUGCGAGUUCACCAAUGAAAAGUGCCGAGUAACGUAGUAUUUGUUGAGACAUCAUGUAGGUUAUUAGGUCUCCGGAUUCUCUAAAAUUCUUAUUGAUGUGGAUUAUUAUUUAAUUGAUUGCAAUUUAUACAUACAUACAUGCAAACAUGCAUGCAUAUACAUACAGUAAUUAUUAUUUAAUAUUCUUCUUUUCCCUUUUUUUCUAAGCUGACCCAUGCAAAUAGGGAAAUUAAAUCUACAUUUGAAUUAAGGCCUAAUUCCUUGAUAGGUAGGAACAAUAGGAAAUGCUUUGGGUCACCAAAAAGUUUACCUUUAUGAGUUAUUGGUGUGUUGAUAGAUCCAUGUACAUCAUAUUUUCGAAAUGUGUACUAAUCAAACAAAGUAUUCUACAUUACGAAUAUAAACACAUACCGACUAUCCCUAGAACAAGUGGUAAAGGGCUUGGUGGUUAGUAUCUGAGGUUCCAAGUUCGAAUCCUAGUUGAUUCACAUUUCCAACUAAGUUUAUUCGAAGUUAAAUAAAGAAACGGAUAGCGUGCUACCUAUUUUUUUUUUUUUUAAAAAAAACGAAUAUAAACAUAUCAAUAACAUUAUGUGGCUUGUUUCGAUAUCCAUGAACAUUCCGUUUAGCAUAUCUCUUUUAUUUAGACAAAAAACUUAAUAGUAUUUAAUAGAAAAGGAGCAUAAUCAAAUAUUUUAAGAAACAUAUCAUAUUCAAGCUCUAAACCAUAGCUUUGGUGCAAAAAUAAUACACUAUUUGAACAAACUAUGAGGGCCAAAAUUUUACAAGAAACUAAAAUUAAACUUAUACCUUAUUAUUAAAGGAAAAAAGUUUAUAAAGAACAAGUUUUUACUAAAUAACUUAAUUUAAUAUCUAUCUAAUCACACUACAACAAAAUUAGGUUAUAGGGACACAUGUUUGGAACAUUUUUGUGUAAGUGUCCUAUUUAUGCCAAAACUUAAAAAAAAAUUUACUAAUACCUAAAUAUAAAUCCAAUCCAACAAAAAAUAAAAUGUUACUCUACUCAACCCACCCCACCCAGCCCAUUCGGCCCAAUUACAAACAGAAAAGAAAAAGAAAAGAAAAAUCGAUUACCAUUUCCCCUUCUCCCCUCACUCAAUCGACUAAAAUCCUAGACGAAGAUCCCGUCCUCUCGUCCUCCUCCACCACUGCAGCCAACGAGGUAGUUUCGGCGGUUGUUAAAUAUUAAAUAAAUAUUGAUAAAUUAGCAGUACUUUUUUAGGUUAUCACGACACUCUUUAACUGGCACUAUAUACCUAGCGACCCUACAUAUAACAACAUUUUUUAAAAGUGUCGGUAAUUUAGUCAGCAGCACUUUUUUUGACCAGUACCGAUAUUUAAAAGUGUCGCUAUAGACAAUUUUUGUUCUCGUGAAAUAGAUUCAUAAAUCAACAUUCCAA